GAAGGAGAGGUUUCAAGAUACGAAGAUCGAUACCCUGACAAAGACAUCGUCAAGGAAGAAGAACCAGCAGAAGAAGAGAUAGUGAUUCCAGCACUCUCUCCUCCAAGUUGCCAUCACCUACAAAGCAGGUAUGGAAGCCCAAGGUAAAUUCAGAAAUAAAUCCUGCUAAGGACACAACACCUGUGGCGCCGUCCGAUGCACCCCCGAUUAGUGAGCGAACAAGAAGGUCCUAUUCAGAGGACUUAAAAUCAACGAACGCCGUGCCAAGAGGUAACUUGGUAUUUACCUACAUUUUCCUUUAUAUUUACUACUUUUAAUUACAUUAGUAAUUGCAUCUUUAUUUUUAUUGCUGCAUUCGAAAAGAACAUAAAUAUGUUUUUGUAUUGCAUCUAGAAAAUGCUAAGGCCCAUGUAUUUAAUAUGUGAUGCAACUGCUCACAUACUUAUCUACUGUGGAGGCACAAAAAUAAUUUUUAGCAUAUUUAUUUCCCUGUCUGCAUACCAUAAAUAUGAAAAGCAUAAAAAUAUAUUGAUCCUAUUAAAAGAUAAAUGAGUAUAUGAAAGUUCUAGAAUCCCAAGGCUUAGAGGUUUAUUACUAACGCUUAAUCAGUUCCACAAGCUUUGUUGUCUAUUUGAGCUUCACAUGCUUUAAAGGAUCAAGAAGAAUUAACAUGUAGAAGGAUAUAUUGUCCCGUGUCUGAGUACUGUCCAUAUUAGGCAAGUGUUGUUUUUAACAACAAGCACCUACGACACUCCAGGAGGACCAGUACGCCUUCACUGCCUGUCAGCAACCUCAGCAGACUAUGUCAACAUCCAGCUUGGGGGAGAGCAACCCCCGUAUACCAAGCUAAGUAUCUCUUACUUACUCAUCUAUCUAUUCCUAGUGCGUUAUGACAAGAUAAAAAGAUGAAUAACCUUAGAAACCUAAUAAAUAUUUUAUCUUUCAUAAUUAAUUCUGUUAGCUAUGGAGAGAUCUUAAUGAAUUUUUUAAAAUGAACCUCUAGAAUAAACUAUUAUAUGGAGAUGAUGAAUAGUUGCUCUACUAUAAUUCCUUGCAAGUAUCUACUUUUCAGCCUCGUACUCUCCUGAGUUUUAGACUCAACUAUUUAGACUUAAGAUUUUGCUCUGAGCCUAAAACUUGUGGGUAGCAAAUUCUUGAUCUAAGUCUAGGUAGUUGAGGGAUAUGAUAUAGGAAGGUCUUGAGCUGCUAUCAAUCUUGCUCCUAGAGAUACUAGAGUUCUGGAUAAUUUUAUUUUGAAAAUCCUAAAUUGCUACUAGAUGAGUUCCUUUAUGACAAGAGUUUAGUUUCCUACCACAGCCAAAUACUCAUGCUUGCUAGAUUAGGAAAACCUCUUAUAUUUCAACCUAUAAGAAUUGAGGGUAGUUAAGCUGUGUAGACCCUAAGGAACUAGUUAUGCAGUUAAAGUCAAUAUUAUGUGCUCUCCAUCUAUUGAUCUUAGAUACUUCUGUCCUCAGAAGUACGCAUCCACUUACAUCCACCACAUUCACUAUAUGCUACUUCUAUUCCUGGAAGUACCACCCACAUAUAUGCACUACACUCGGUGCUGUUUCUAUCCUGGAGACAUGCACUUAUGCUGCUCCUAUCUCGGGAGUACGCAUCCCUUCAUCCACCCACAUACAUUCCACAUCCACAUAGAAAAUGUUCUACUCCUACACUAGGAGGGAAUACCCAAAAAAAUAUCCAUUGCCAUUAUGUCUUAUUCUACUUAUCCAAUAAAGCUCCAGUUAUUUCAGUUGAUACUCCCUGUUGUUAUCUGUACAUUAAAAGGGUUGGCUGAUCUCUACAAAAUGAGAAAAGAAAGAAAGAGGACAAAAGUCCCAGUGCAGAAGAAAAGAAAGACAGCCAAGUUGUUAUUCUUAGAUUAGGGAGGUGUAUUAUCCCCAAGGAGCAAAUAUAGAAUUAGAUAUAAACCAUCAGUUAUCACCCCUCAUAACCCCUUUCAUUCUUAUCACUUCACUUCAUUCACUCAUAUGCACAUAUGACUUGAUUGUAUAAUUAGUUUCUCUAGAUCCACGUUUUAACUAUGCAAUACAUGUAGGUAGGUUUGAAUAGUCUUUCCCACCUAUGAGUUUACAUAAGCCAUUUAGAAGUAGGGUAAGAGAGAGAAGACAACUAUGCCUUAGUCCUACAAAUACCAUAUAUUCUGAGAGCAGAGAGAAGGCAUACUCAUUUGCCUUGGAGAGGAUCCAAAAAUACCAAAUAUGAGAGACUAGAAAGUGUCAUACAAGGAAACUCUGAGUUUUAUUUGAAAGUCUUGCAAAACUCCACAUUAAUAGUUGAUCAAAGAGUAAGUAGCAUAGUGCUCGACUUAACUGUUUUGUCUUUCAACUACCCAAGACCUAAGUGAUAGCUAUAAGCUCCAUGGUUGAAGGUAAUAUGGGUGAGUCUUGAGUUAGAAUAGUUCACUCUAAUCCAAAGGAGAGUCCUUGUUUGAACGCUUGUGUACUUGUGAGGCGUGAAAGUAUUGUAGCAACUCCUGAUCCAUCACUGAGUCUAUCUUUGCUGAGGGACGAGCAAAAGGUAAGCUUGUGGGAGUUUGUUGACGGUAGAUAAGUACUCUUUUUAACCUUCAACAUAGCAUGUGAAAGGAUUAAAAAUGAGAAUACUAUCUAGCUAUAGGGUUAUCACUAACAGAAUUCUACAAGUUUUGGUGAUUGUCUAUUUCUGUAGGGGGCUAUCAGAAUAAGAACAAAAGGAGGUCCACAUGGUCAGAUUUAUAUAGAGAGAACAUGUGAAACGUCAACUCAGGAAUACUCCAAAAGGCUCGAUAAGACAGCACCUGAAAGGUGGGGCCCACCUGCCAUAGGGUAGAGGCAGGCACCCCACCUUGUCAAGGGCGGCCGCUCAGAGGUCUCAACAAAUCUGGUUCAACCUCGCAGAUCCUGCCUCCACUGACUUUGAGGAUUAAUCUUAAGCAUACGUUUAAGUCGGUCUGAUCCAAGGGCUGUGGUGCUUUCUAGGGGGCUAUAAAUAAAGACCCUGACCCCCAUAGAGAGGAGGAAAAGAGAGGAGUUCAUUAUUCUCUGAUCAAGAGAAGAAUUAGAUAGAGAGGGGUCCUUUGAACGGAUCUAUCUCUAUAGGAUUCUUAGCCACCAUUUCAAUUAGAUCUCUAUAGUUCUUUAGCAUAGCUACAUAGGAAUAGAUCUAGAAGGAUUCAAGUUAAUCUUGGAGUCCGGAUCAAUCUUCAGUUCUUGGUAAACUCUUAUUCUCUUUGUUAUAUUUAUAUUAGUUCUUGCUACUAUGAAUAUGACUUUGAACUAUUUGAUUAUAUUGGAAUUGACUUUAUUCCAUUUGCUUAUGUUUUAAUUAUACUGUUCUUAAUCUACUUUGAUUAUAUGCUUAGCGUAGUUAGAUUAGAAUUAUGUUUAUGCAUAGGAUCAUAUAGAGCUUACUCAUUAGGCCGAUGGGUAAGUGAUAAAUAUUGUGUUGGCGAGGUUCCUAGACCAUAUUUAUCCACGAUUACCCCUUAUAGUCUUGAGCUUAAGAUAGAUCGCGGGAGUGACAAUUCUAUUGAGUCCUUUGUAUUCCUUCUCCCGAUUAUAAGGAUUGUAGAGCACCAUUAUUACAGGGAAGUUGUUGCUAUGUUCAUGAUCUUUCUUGCUAAUAUCACUAUGCAUAGAUAUAACCUUUUCUAGUGAUGAUGCUAGGUGUACUUGCACUAAUCAUAGUAUGCUUUGACAGUAUAGUUAGGAUACUCAGGAUUUAUUCUUGUAGAUUGUCCUAAUUCCAUGCUAGUGCUAUAGACUUAGAGUAAUCUAACUAAGAUGAUUAUCAUGUUUAUCUUAUGGUUAUGAACUCUUAUUUAUCCUCUAUCACUUAUUAUUCAUAUUCAUAUAUUUAUCUUAUGUGACACUUACCCUGCAUGAGAGAUAGAUAAAGACAUGGUUAAGUUCUCCAUGAUUAUAUGCAGUGCUCAUUGCUCAUUAUCUAUUGCAAGUCCAUUCCUAGUGGUAAAAAUAUAAAUAACAAAACCUGGAAUACUCUUGGUUAAAAUGCUACAUUGGUAUUAUCUAUGCGCUUGUGGAUCCUUUACUUAUUUAUUUAUUUAUUCCUAGAAAAGCAUAUAGAUUUAAUACCAGCACUUCUACAUCAUGUGAGGGAUGACAACCUAGCUUAAGUGAUGUUAAGUAAUUUUGAUAUUGUUGCUAGGGAUAGGUUUAAUGUCUAUUUUUAGUUGCGUUAAGAAGUGUCAACAGAGGCCUUAAAAGUGGAAGUGGGGGCGCCCGCGGCGGAGUAGAAGAAGCUGGAGCCCCUGCUUGACGGGCUAGCCGUGCUAAGCAAAGAGCGCCUUAAUGCGGCCUACGUGGUGGCUGCCUUCCACAAGCGCCGUGUGCUUCUCUUGGCGUAGCGGGUGUUAUUCCUGUACCAGAUGAUGCCCGAGGCAUCUCUGUUCGAAACUCAGAUGCUGGACGAGCCAGUCCCAGCCUCAGAGAUUACUUAGCGCAUUGUGCGGACGGUGGCACCGGAGCUGGCCAAGCACUAUCUGUUUAUUCCAAGGCACCUUGAAAAGGGCUAUUUUUCUUUGGUAAGUUUUUUUAUUCCGUUAGUGUUUCUAUGAGGCCACUUCUAAGACUCUUUUUGUUCUCUUUGGGAUUGACCGCAGGUCCUCAGCUUCAUCUGGAGCUCGCAGCCUCCGGUCCAAGAAGACCGGGAGGUUCAGGCCAAGAACCACCAACAGAAUGAGGAAUAGAAGCACCUUGCUGACGAGUCCAAGGUGAAGAAGGCGAAGAAGGCUCAGGCAAGGGAGGAGUUGGACAAGCUCCGCCGUGCCGCAAGAAAUGCGGGGCUCCCCGAGCCAGAGUGCCCCGAGGCCUCCAUCUCAGAGGGAGAGGAAGGAGAGGACCCCAACUGGCUGAAUGAGCUCCUCGAGGAGGAGUGUCCAGUCCGGGGGGGAUCGGCGGCUCCCGGAAAGGAGCUAUAGGCUUCUGGGGGUGCCAGAGGCGCCCCCUCAUCAACUGUCGAGAGGCCCGAGGCGCAAGUGGCCGAGAAGUGCCCGGCGGCCUUAGGGCCUCAGAUGGAGGGGUAGCCGGCGAGCUAGGAUAGGCUGGCAGAGGUGCAUGGGGCACCUGAGGGUCCCGAGACCUAGACCUCUAAGGGGCAUGCCGAGGCCCAGAUCGCCCUGGUAGCCCCCGUGGAUCCAGCUGAUGAGGGUACGAGUCUACCAGAGCCGACGGUGACACCCAUGGUGGAAGAGCCAAGGCACGGCUCGACUGAAGGCGUCCCUGCAAUGCCCAUGGCCCCCUCUGGACCGCGCCUUGUAACACCCUAAAAUUUGUUCCUUUCGAAAUAGAGCUAAAAUGAUUUAAUUUUGUAUUUUUGUGCUCAUAGAAUAUAGGAAAAAUAAUAUUUUUCGUUUAAAUAAAAUUUAUAUAAGGAAUUUAGCAACAUGGUUGUGCAUUCAUUUUUGGACCAUUGGCUUUAUUGCAUUGUGUGGAUUUAAUAAAAGUUCAAGGUAAUUCAAACUAUUUGUAAAACAAAUUUUCAAAUUGUUUUUGAAUUGGCUUUGAAAUAAAAACAACAACAACAACAAAAAUCUCCCUAUGGCACGAGAGCCCAUCUCAACCUCUCGCCCUUUCUCUUUAUUCCCCUCACUCGGCCCAACGCUCAAAUCAGUCAGCAGUAGCUUUUCGGCCCAGAUCCAUCCCUCUUCACGGCGGCCCAGCUGGCUGCCAGCUCUCCUUCCACAGGCCAGCGCGCACUCGACCCAACCGCAGGCCGCGCCCUUCCUUUCCCCCUCACUCGGUUUGGCCUAGUUCUUCUUACAGGCCGACCCAGCAGUAGGAGCGUGGCCCGCAGCACAUGUUGCCCUUCCCUCCUCCUCUAUAUGGCAAACCAGCCCCGCGCCAUUUAGUCGCUACCAAGUGGGACCCAUAGGUCAGCGACUCCCUCCCCUUCUUCCUCACCGUGACCAAGCUGGUCUCUGGCUAACAGGCGACGCGCCAAUCCCGAUCUUUCCGAGAUUCCUUGCCAACUCUCGCAUCAAGCUCCUAUAAAGCUCCAGUCCCUACUCAUGCCCCUGUUUUCCCCUUCGAGCCGCCACCGUGCCCUAGCACCGCCUGGUGGCUGCCGUUUGCAUCUCCUGAGCCGAAGCAUCUCUGCUGCAGUGGAGCGCCCGAUUCGCUGCCGUGUCGGCGAACUGAAGUAGGGUACGAGCUUCAUGAUGCUCCUGCGAAGCUACAGAGCCCUUCGCUUUGCUCUCUACCAUGCUCUACAGCUCUCUCACCAACGCCGAACUUGUCCAGGGUACCGUCGCCCGCCACCUCUCGCCGCUCGUCUCCACGGGAUCUCCCUAACCGCGAAAAAGUCCCUAGGUGAGUUUGCAUGAAUUUUAUUUACGCUUUGAUACCUUCCCCGUUGAAAACCAUGGUCUCUAGGGCCGUCAGGCUGCUGUGACCGCCGGCGCCCUCUUUUCCUAGGCCCACAUUUGAUCUGAGCCGUCCAACCGAGAUCCAACGAUCCACAGUGGCUGAUACCCAUUCGGCCUGGCACUUUCGUUAAAGAGUCCUUGAGUUUUUCAGUUAUCUAACCCGCCGUCCAAAACGCACUUGGAAAAUACGCUUUCAUCGAUUAAAAACGUAUUCCACUCUAGUUUAUGUAAAAAAUACGUUUUCUAUAAUUAUAAGUUUGCCACUGAGUUAGUUUUAGCCACUAAAUACUCUUUUAACUCAGAUUUGACCCAUUCAAAUUGUGUUAGAUUCGUAAUAACGAGAUCUACAUGUUAGUAAACUUGGUUUACUCAGUUUGAAACCUUUUAUUUUCGUGACCUUAUUUAAUUAAUUACUUUUCUAAAGAAAAUCUUAGAAAAUUCAUAUGUUCUCCGUUUUAACUCCUAUUUUCGUGAUCUUUACGUCUGUGAGAUUGUAGCAAUGCGUAGAAUCAUUUUAUAAACUUUUCCUACUGUUUUUAUAUGAUUGGUGUACUGUUCUAAUUAUAACCUUGUUUGCUUCAUGUAUGUUUGUCUCUGAUAGUUUGUAUGUUGAUGAUCGAUGAUCGGGAUUAGACGGUGAGCAGUGCUUCGGUGAUCAAGGUCAGUACUUGGACAACUAGCAAGAUCAGCAAGAGCAAUUGGAUUAAGGCAAGUAUAGAAUUUGGGUUUUAAUUCUGUGACCAUGAUCUUGUGACUAGAUUAGUGUUAAGUAACAAACGAUGAAAAUGACUUUUUAGCCACUUGAUGAUUUAUCUGUAAGUGAUAACCGGGACAACUGUGCAAUCAUGGGGGCUAUAAUGGCUCUGGCUUUAGUUAUGUAUGAGUAACUUUUCUAGCUCAUUAGCGGUUACCCGUGUGUCGCAAUUGGGGAAUAGCAGACCGUGGAUUCCUACAGGUGGAUCACACGGACUGACUAAUGAAACCAAGCGGCCCUAACUAGUUAGACGAACCUUUGAAAGACUUCAUAGUGAUCCCUACCGACCUUCAUUGGUAGUGGGUUAAGAGGCUGAUCACCUCAGGUGAAAGGGUAAAUCAUGACUCAUGGGUAAAGAUGUACAACCUCCGCAGAGUGUUUGAAACUGGUAUACUAGCCGUGCUCAUGGUCAAGAGCGGCCAUAGGGAUUCUUGCAUUAAGGGUGAUGAUUCUUGUUGUGUUAAUAUACUCAUUAUUUAUUAUUUAAUGCUUUACAUAAUUUAUGUCACACUAAUCAUGACAUUAUGGGAUCUACACAAUCUAGUUGCUAUACUUGUGGAGUUUGACAUGGACUCACUCUUGCUUUUUCCACCACACCCUUUAGGAAAAGUUUUGGGCUUGUGAUCAACUAGUCAGUUUGGAUCCUGUAGAGAGAAGUUAAUACCUGAGUUUGGAGUUGUCUAUCCGUUGUUUGUUAUCUAAGCUUAUCUCUUUUAUACUAAGUACAUUAUAUAUUUGUUCAUUGUCUUUGGAUAUUACCCCUUAUUUGUAGCUAUAUGUGAGAUUUGGCUUUUAAGACUCACAUAUGGUGUAUAUCUGGUUUUGUCCUUAAAAUCGGGUAUUACAAAGUGGUAUCAAAGCAAUGCUGACUGUAGGACGCAAGUCUAGUUAGAAUCAGACGUUUUAGCAUGCUCCUAUCUCUGCUUACAUCUUGCUUUCACCUUAACCUUGAUAAUUGCUAAAAGUUAUGCUUACUUCUGCCCUGUUCUUUUAUAAUACCUUGUCUCUAUUCUAAAUCCUGCCUCUUUGUCUCUUUAGAUGGCUCAUAACGAGGAGACCUUUGCAAUGAAGGAACAAAAGCACCCAAAUAUGCCAACCGUAAAAGCAUUCGACAAGGAGAAACUCCUAGACAUGCAAAAACAAGUAGUGGAAGGAGUAACCUAGAAUAAGAACUCAUGGAAGUGUUGGUAGUAAUACAUCAAGAUAUCAGGAUCAAUUCCACUGUUGUGAGCAUUACGGUCUCCCUUAUCUUUGGAAUAGGUCAUCUAAAAAGGAAGUUAAGACAAAACUAAAUUGUGUGACUAAUGAGGAUAAGAAGAGGAAGGCAAAAUCACUAGAGCCAGCAUUGGGAAAUUAUAAACAUUCAAAUCCUAAGUUGUCACAUGUAGCUACGAAUUAUUGUCAGGAAAAUUCAAACCUUAGAGAUAAAGAAACUCUUCAAGCUAACCCACUGCUCAUGAGGUAUGCAUAGAUGGAUGGACAAUCACUUAUAAAGAGUUUCAACCUUCAAGGAUCAAGCAAUGUAGGAAGAAAUCUAACCAGACAAAGAUAAACCAUCAGAGUCAGCGAGUUGACAACACAUCAAGCAACACUUCAGUGGAAAAUUGUCGACGAAAGCUGGUCGGCAGUCUACCUUGGGGUAUACCCACAGUAGUAGUUUAUCGGUAGAUGGUGCGCAAACUACGAACUCGAUGGUGACGCAAGACACGGACAAGCUUUUUAUCCAGGUUCGGCCGCCGAGUUGGCGUAAUACCUACGUCCUGCGUCUGGUUGUAUUGAUUUGUGUUGAGAGAAUAUGAUGUCCUAGGGGGGUCCCUUGCCCCUCCUUAUAUAGUCUGGAGGGCAGGGUUACAGAUCUGGAAACUAAUCCUAGUCGGUUACAAUUGCCAUGGAUAAUUCGAUAUCAAUUCCUAUUCUAACCGACUAGAAUCCUGCUUGAUCUCCCCAUCUUGUUUCCUUGCGCGAAACUCCAGGUUGUCGGAUCAAGCCUUGAACUCGUCUCGUAAUGGGCCAAGCUUCCUGGCCGAAGUCUAGCCGUAAGGGUAUAGGGGUUUAUACCCCCACAGCUAGUCCCCGAGCACCAUGUAUUGUGAUGUAACACGCCGUCUUGAGCUUCUUCGAUCAGUGAGACUUGACGUCUUCAAUAAGUGGGAAAAUCGCCCAAACAGUUGCAACGGUUCUUUGACCAACUCAAAAGACAGUUGAUCAACAUUGACAUCGAAGAAGCGAGUUGUUCGAAGAAUGCAUGGUGCUCUAAAUUAAAAAAGAUUUCUUUCCUGGUGAAGUGUGCCCACUUUACUUUUUUGAAAGGUAUGAACAUCAAAAAAGCAAGCAUAUUCACCGCAAGGUGAAGUGUGCCCACUUAGUCCCCGAGCCUGGUAGUAGGUGACGUAGGCACGUGGUGCCAGGGUCAAAAUAAAAGUCCUCAAAGAAAUUCUGUAACUGAGAUGCAUCGCCAGAUGCAUCGUACCGAUGUAGUCCCCGAGCUUGCUGGAAGGCGAAGUAUGAGCCUUGUAGCAAGGUCUAAAAAAUUGAAUUUACCAGUCCGUCUGCAAUUGAAUAGACUAAUCGACCAGUCCCCGGGUGUAUAAUAGUAUGACGACCAGUCCCCAAGCACCAAGUGCGCUCCUUAGAAUUCUGCGUUGCUAUACUGUACGACCAGUCCCCAAGCAUCGAGUGCUCGGUGGUCGGUGCUGUCUUUGAAGUUCCGAGCUGAUAGACUGGGCGACCAGUCCCCGAGCGUCGAGUGCUCGGUGGUCGGUGCAGUCCUUGAAGUUCCGAGCUGAUAGACUGGGCGACCAGUCCCCGAGCGUCGAGUGCUCUGUGGUCGGUGCAGUCCUUGAAGUUCCGAGCUGAUGGACUGGGCGACCAGUCCCCGAGCAUCAAGUGCUCGGUGGUCGGUGCAGUCCCCGGAUUGUUGACUCUCUGGCAUAUUUGUCUUCUUUUUAUUGAAACGAUCUUUUCAGUUAAAGUUGACAUGACGAGACCUCCUGAUGGGUUGUCAGAUGGACGCAUGAAAAGUUGCGCCUAGCAACUGUACAGCCGCCCUUUGUGUGGUUUGAGAAAAAGGGAACCAUCAAUUGGUACGAAAACUCCGCCGCAUUAAUUGUCUAUAAUCAUUAUAAACCGAAACGCCGCAUCCGCCGCAUGGCCCGCCCACUUCCCGAGAAUACGGGAAGUGGGAGGGGUGGAGUUGCGGGUUAUAAAAACCUGACAGUUCCGCCUGUACUCCUUACCCUGCCAUUGCCCUCAAGCCUUCCAUUUUCGCCUCCUUCAAUCACCUGCAUCUUCGUAACCCAAAUCCACUUCUGACCUCCAAUGGCGAAGAGCAACGCCAAGAAGAGGGCUGAACUGAUGGCCAAGGAGUGGAAGAAGUCCCGCAGCACCACCAAAUCCCUCGGUGACCUCGUCGACAUGGGACUCCUGCACAGCUCGGAGCUCGGCGGCUGGAGAGCACCGGAAGGAGAAAGCUUCCCCGACCCUCGUGCCGGUGAGAUCGUCGUGUUCGAAGAUUUCGUUAAGAGGGGCUUUGGGGUUCCGGUUCAUCCUUUUCUCCAAGGUCUUCUUCUGUAUUAUGAGAUCGGGAUUUGCAAUCUGCACCCGAACUCAAUUCUCCUUAUUUCCACGUUUAUUCAUCUGUGCGAGGCCUAUGUUGGCAUAGAGCCGCACUUCGAUCUUUUUCGUUACCUUUUCUGCUUGAGGAAGAAGGGAGCAGUUGGAGGCUCCAAGGUUGCAGGUGGAGUGUACCUCAACCUUCGUGAUGGAAUGAAGAAUCACUACCUGCACUGUCCAUGGAACACUUCCUUGACCGAAUGGUAUAGGAAGUGGUUCUACGUCAGGGAGGAACCGGGCAGCUCCACGUUCUGCGACGUGGGGUACAUUCCCGAGAAGAGGGUAAGCUGGACCGACCGCCCGGAGUUCGACGGUCAAGUGGCGGAUCUGAUGAAGCUGAUCGACUGGUCGCGCCUGGAUGGGCUUGGCGUGGUCGGCAACUUCAUUUGUCGUCGGGUGAUGCCCUGCCAGAAGAGGGUGCACUCGGCGUACGAGUAUUCCGGAAGCGUGGACCCGACCAGGAUGCGACCGGAGAUCUUGGAGAAGGCGGAGGUACAACGGCUGUUGAACGAGCUGUUCAACUUUGCGGACGGAGGCUUCAUCCGCGGCAGUGAUCGGGUGCAAGCCUUCAAGUUAGGCCGACCAGCACCAAAGGUAUGUUGCAGAGUAGUUUGUUUUAGCAUUCGUAUAUCGUCUGUAGCUGACUCAUCUUUGUUGCUUUUGCAGAUCGGCGAUGUCGAUCGGUGCACAGUGUAUGUAUCACUGGCACCGGGGAUGGAGAAUCCUGCGGGAGAAGACCUGCCAGAAGACGAUGCUGCUAGGUGUACUCGUUACACCAGCAGUGAGGAGGAACAAGCCCGCCCCGUCCCGACCACCGAGGAGAGGGUAGCGGGGAAAAGGCCAUUGCCGGCAGAUCCCUUGCCGACACCGAUGUUGCCGGCAGAUCUACCGGCGGAGAGCAGCCAAGCGCCGAAGCGUCAUCGGCUCGUGCGGAUCGUUGACGACGACGACGAUGAGGAGGAGGCUGCACCGUCGUUAGUCCGACGGCCUCGGAGCCGCCCAGAUAAUGCGCCGGCCGCUACUGAUCGAGUGGCCAGCGACCCCCCUGCACCGCAAGUUGUCGAGAUGGGGGCGCAGGUGCCGACCGGCCGGGCGAGGAGGAGGUUCACCGCGACCCACCGUCGAUCAGACCUGUAAGUGUUCGACUUACGUAUUUUGGACUCCUCUUUGCUUUUUUUUAAAUUACACUUUUGUUCCUGUAGUGCGGCGUCGGAUGUCGACCCCGGCCAGGCUGCCAGCCAGGGGACGGGCGAGCCUGUCCACGCUGCUGAAGAUACGGCCCCCCAGACCACAGAGCAGCCUACAGCUGGAGCCGCGCUUGGGAGCACCGAGGGGCUCCCGACCGCGGCACCGACUACGACAGGCAGCACGACCAGGGUUGAAGAGGCUCCCCCAGCUGGCUCCACAGAAGAGGAGGGAAGAGCCCCGACCCCUCCUCCUGCCGGGGGGAGUGGAGUCCCCACGCCGCCCCGAGCAGGAACCUCUUCGGCUGCAGGCUCCCCGGGUCUGGUCCGGGGGCCAGUAAUGCCUGGGACCACCACCGGGGGUGACGCAGCGCAGGAGGAGGAAACCCGGGCGGCCUCCGAUGACGAGGUGGAAGAGAUUGAGGGUCGUCCCCGUGAUGGCCGCCAACACGUGUAUGUGUGGCGCCAACGCGGGGAUCACUUUAUCGGGCAUGAGGAGCUCGCCGAGACCGAGGAGGCCGCUAGGGUGGAGCGCGCGGCCAAGCGCCUCGUCGACGAAGUCAAGGUAAGCGACUUUUUGUACUGCUGUACAUUCUAUGCCUUGUCUUGCAUGGUCGUUAUAUGUUCGCUUUGUAGGGCGCAAUGAAAACGGCAAGGUACCGGAAACGGUGCUUUGACCAGAUAGAAGGCGUCGUGGCCGAGAACAAGGCCCUGGCCGCGGAGGUAGACCGGCUGCGGUCGGAAGUCGGGGAGAAGGUGGCCGAGAUGAGCGCCCAAGAGGAGCGUCGUCUUGACCUCACUCGUUGCUUGGCCGACCAGUACUGGCAGCGAGAAGGUUAGUCACACGCUCCGAGCAGCUUUGCGUACUUGUGUAGUUUGCUUUACUGACCAGUUUAUGAUUCACGCUGACUUGGAGGAGGAGGUGGCGCGCCUCCGACAAGAGAUGGAGCAGCUCAGCCAACAGCUCGCCGGUGCGCUGGAGUCCGGGCGGCGAGCAGGAGAGGAAUUGGGUCGAAAGGACCGGGAAUUAUCUGGUAAUGGGUGACGCCUUGUUAGCUGCUGCUUGUCGCCCCUUUGUUUGUUUGGUAAGCCGAAAAUAACGCUUUGUUUCGUUUGCAGUGCUCAAGGUGAACGCCAAGAAGCACCUGGAUGAUCUGAUCAAGGACCGGGACUCCUGGAAGGUCAACUGUUGCAGGAUCUGGAAAGGAGUGUCCCCGGUCCUAGACCUGAUCAGUCCCGAGCUCCCGGAGAGCCGGCCCCGCGCGCCACAGUUGACCUCGGUCGAGAAGGCGCAACGGGCGUGGGACUGGCUCCAGUAGUUCGUGAAGGACGCCGGGGAGUUUGCCGGCGCGCACGUCCUCAGCAUGGUGCGCGCCCACUACCCCCUGAUCGACUUGAGUAGGCUGGAGAAGGGGUACCUGAAGGAGGUCGGCCCACAGGAAGCGGACGAGCUUCGGGGUAGUCUGUUGUACUUGUCGUCGACAGUGAUCGGCGAUAUCAAUCUGUGCGGAACGGCCACUCCCCCAGACCAGCCGAGUUCAGAUAGGUCGGCCAGGGAGUUGUCGGGCGCGUCCGUUGCGGGAGAUGGGCGGUCGACGCCUGCGGUCUCGACCAGCCAGGCGCCGGUGGCCCCGACCCCUUCGUCCGGGCAGCAGGGCCAGGCGGGUGAUCAGCCCGAGCAGCUAGGCCAAUAGAGUAGUCUGUAGGAAUAGACUAGUGUCUGCCCGUCAGGGUAUUUAUUGUAAACUUUGUAUGUAAAGUUUGUAAUAAAGUUUGCUUUUUGUCAUGACUGUUGUUUUGAGCGCUGUAAGAUUAUCUGAGUGACGUGUCACCGUAUUCGUCUUGGUAGUCGUUAAGAGCAUCCAUUGCAGGAGUUUUGCCGAGUGCUGUGUGCGACAAGGUAUAGGCAAAAAAUAGAGAAUUUCAUUAUCAACAAUUAUAAGAUACUUACAAAGGAAAGUUAUUAAAACUUUAUGGAUAGAAACGUCGCAGUUUGUCUAUGUGCCAAGAGUUAGGCACUCGUGUUCCGUCUGGGUAUGCCAAUCUGUAGGACGUAGGUCGUGUGACCUCGGUCACCACGAAGGGUCCUUCCCAGGGAGUGGAUAGCUUGUGCAUUCCCUCCUGGCUUGUUUUCCAUCGAAGUACCAGAUCGCCGACCACGAAGGAACGGUCCUUGACGUUCCUGUUGUAGUAUCGCCUGACUGCCGCGAGAUAUUUUGCUGUUCGGAGACACGAAUCUAAACGCUUUUCCUCCAUGCAAUUGAUUUCGAGUUCUCUGGCGUUGUCAGCGGUCGCCUGGUCGAAGUGUUCGAUUCUAGGAGAUCCGAAGUGUAUGUCAGACGGCAGGACCGCCUCUGCACCGUACACCAUGAAGUAGGGAGACACCCCUGUGUUUCGACUGGUCUGAGUUCGGAGGCCCCAGACCACUGCCGGCAAUUCUUUCAUCCAUCGACCGGGUGCUCUGUCGUUUUCGGUGUACAACCUUUUCUUUAGGGCGUCAACGAUCAUUCCGUUAGCACGUUCAACUUGACCGUUGGCACGUGGAUGUGCCACUGACACGUAUUUUAUGACUAUGCCUCUGUCAUCGCAGAAGUCCCAAAAAGUGGUGCCAGUAAAUUGAGUGCCCAGGUCGGUGAUUAUGCUGUUCGGGAUGCCGAAUCUGUGUAUGAUUUGAUUGAGGAACUCCACAGCCUUCUCGGAGGUUGCCUUGACCAGAGGCAUGUAUUCAAUCCACUUGGAGAACUUGUCGAUUAACACGAAAACAAACUUGAAAUUGCCCGGGGCUGGUUUAAAUGGCCCGAUCAUGUCAGGCCCCCAGCAAGCAAAGGGCCAAGACGACGGGAUGGUUUGAAUUUCAUGGGCAGGUACGUGGGUCCUCUUAGCGAAAAACUGACAUCCUUCGCAAUGUCGAACCAGUUUUUCUGCGUCGCCGACCGCGGUUGGCCAAUAAAAACCUGCUCGGAAAGCCUUUCCGACCAGCGUUCUGGAUGCGGCGUGAUUGCCGCAGGAUCCAGCAUGUAUGUCCUCUAAGAGCUUGAUACCAUCAUCUUGGGGUAUGCACUUGAGCAGUACUUCGGAGCUUGCGUUUUUCCGCAUGAGUUUGCCGUCGACCAGGAUGUAGUUCUUUGAUCGUCGAAUGAGGCGCUCGUUCUCUGUUUUGUCCUGAAGGCCUGUCCUGUCCGAUAUGUAUUUGAUGAACGGGGUACGCCAGUCACGCCCACCGGUUGUCGGAGUGGCGUCGUCUAUGAGCAUUGCCUCGGUGGGUUGCUUGUCGACCAGGGAGGAGCCUACGCUCGACUCGUGGAUGUCCUGGACGAAAAUACCCCGCGGGAUCUGGGCCCGAGAUGAGCCUAACUUCGACAACGCAUCUGCUGCUUGGUUCUUAUCCCGGACCACGUGGAUGUACUCUAUGCCGUAGAAGUUGGUUUCCCAUUUGCGAAUUUCUUUGCAGUAGAGAUCCAUCUUCUCGUGGGUUGCGUCCCACUCCUUGUUGAGCUGGUUGAUGACCAAAGCGGAGUCGCCAUAAACAUAGAGGCGCUUGACUCCCAGCUCAACGGCUAGUCUUAUGCCAUGCAAGCAUGCUUCGUAUUCGGCGACGUUGUUUGACGCCGGAAAAAGGAUCCGAAGGCUGGUCGGGACCUCUAGCGUCGUCUCGGAUUAGUUUUUCUGCGUCGUCGGCGUCGGCGUAAUUUUUGGCCGUGGCGAGGAGUUCCGCCACCGUUGCUGGUCGUUUACGUAACAGCUUGUUCCUCAGCGCUUCGUGGAAGCGCAAGCCCUUGAUGAAGGCAGAGAUGGCCUCGUCGUGGGAAAUCUUCGGGAUUUUGAGGCGCAUAUCCGAGAAUCGUCGGAUGUAAUCGCGCAGAGGUUCGUUCUUCCUGUCCCUUAUCCUUUCAAGGUCAUAUUUGUUUCCAGGCUGCUCGCAUGUGGCGAUGAAGUUGUCGAUGAAAGCCCAGUGCAGCUCUUCCCAAGAGUCGAAGGAGUCCUCGGGCAAGCCAAGAAGCCACUGAUGACCAGCCUGGUCGAGGACUACGGGGAAGUAGUUAGCCAUGACGUGCUCAUCUCCUGCGGCUGAUCGGACGGCGAUUUCGUAGAGGGUGAUCCAGUUCUCUGGAUUUUCCUUGCCGUCGUAUUUUUUAAGUUUUUCGAGCUUGAAAUUGCGGGGCCACACGACCUGGCGGAGGUGUGAGGAGAACUGUCUUAGGCCCGGAGGACCGUGCGUUGCAUCGUACUCGAUGCGGCGCAGGUUUUCGUGGACUGCUCUCUCUGCGGCGCGCCUGUUGAUGCGGUCCCGGGCAUCUUUGGGAGGGAUGUUGUGGCGGAGAUCCCUGUGCUGGUUUACUUCUUGGCCGCGUACGCGGUUCUGCUUGCGGCGACCGUCGGCGUCCCGACCACCAUCAUCGCGCCGUGAGUCCCCUCGACGGUUGUCGGGGGAGCGGCUGCGGUGACGCCUGCUGGGAGACGGUGAGGCCCGGCUACGAUUAGUCUGGUCAGAGGCGGCUUCCGUAUAAGAGACGUCCUGGACUCUCUUGAGUAGAGUGGUUGUCUGUCCCAUUGCAGCGAUCAGGUGUGCUCGGAUGCUGGUCCGGACUCCCUGGCAUUCGGGGGUAUCAGGAAGCCGAUCUAGGUUAGCCAUGGCGACAGCCACGUUGGCGCUUGGCAUUUUGUAGACUGGCUGGUCCCCGACCAUGUCAAAGGCAUCGUUGAGAUUAUUUGGUGGCAUUUGUUGUUGCUCGUCUGCGCGUCGUCGGGCGCGAUCGGCGUUGCGCUGUUCGCGGAGUUGCCUCUGGUCAUCUGUUUCUCCAUCAACGACCGGUUCGUCGGCGCUGACAUUGAACACAAUAUCCCCUCGCCGGGGGGGAAAUAUUGGGAAUCGGUUGAAACCCGGAGGGUGUGAAGGAAAAUCUAGAUCGUAGUCCUCGUCUUCGGUGUCUAUAACCUCGGUAGGGACGGAACCGGUGCUUGAGUUGGUGCUGGAAACCUGGCCGUCCCGUAUUUCUCGGAUUGUCACCAUGUUGACGUAGUGACGAUCGUUCCUUGUCGGCGACCAACCCGCCUUGCUGAAAACGGAUUGGGUGUGCUGUGAGUAGACAGAGGCCGAGUUGUUCAGGCCGCAAGGAUAAUCUUCCUUCUUGAGCUCGACGGAUCGUCCUGAGGGGGUUGAGGUUAUCGUGAGAGACGUUCCCAGCCGUUCGUGUGUGGCGACACGAGUUGGCCGGCGGGAUUUGAAAAAACCCGCUGGGGCAGCUUGGUCGGGCCGACGCAGAACUCCAUCUACUAGUUGGGAAACUUCGAGUAGCUUGGAGUCAGCGCGAUCAAGCGCUUGGAGAAGGUCCGAGCAGUCGAUCUUCUUUCCCUUGUAGAGCGGGAACGGUGGUCGGGCGCUUGGUGCCGUCACACGUGUGGUCGGAGACGGCGUGAUCUCAGAUUGGAUCUGGAUCUCUUUCGAAACCAUGGUCGUGAGGCCGCCGCUGCACGUCGUCCACGUGAUCUGGCCGACGGUGAACGUGAGGCCUUCAGGCACGGUCGCGGAAGCUGGGAUCGUGACCAUCUUGUUCGCCGAAAAGGUUGCACGCACACCCCCUACCUGGCGCGCCACUGUCGACGAAAGCUGGUCGGCAGUCUACCUUGGGGUAUACCCACGGUAGUAGUUUAUCGGUAGACGGUGCGCAAACUACGAACUCGAUGGUGACGCAAGACACGGACAAGCUUUUUAUCCAGGUUCGGCCGCCGAGUUGGCGUAAUACCUACGUCCUGCGUCUGGUUGUAUUGAUUUGUGUUGAGAGCAUAUGAUGUCCUAGGGGGGUCCCUUGCCCCUCCUUAUAUAGUCUGGAGGGCAGGGUUACAGAUCUGGAAACUAAUCCUAGUCGGUUACAAUUGCCAUGGAUAAUUCGAUAUCAAUUCCUAUUCUAACCGACUAGAAUCCUGCUUGAUCUCCCCAUCUUGUUUCCUUGCGCGAAACUCCAGGUUGUCGGAUCAAGCCUUGAACUCGUCUCGUAAUGGGCCAAGCUUCCUGGCCGAAGUCUAGCCGUAAGGGUAUAGGGGUUUAUACCCCCACAAAAAUGACAUCACAAAGGAUCCAGCUAAGAGAAGGUGUUAUCACUGCCAGCAAGAAGGAUAUUAUAUAAAUUCUUGUCCACAAAAGAAUCAAUAGAUGCAUCGUGAAAGUAGCCACACCGAGUUUAAGAUAUAGGACUUUGUGUCCCCUUGUAUAAUAAAAACGCUAGUAGCGAAAGUUGAGUUUUUGUGCCUUGUGAACCUAUAAUGCUUAGUUGGUUUGUGAUUAUGUUUAUGCUUGAUUUGGAUCUUUGUAAUGAGUGUAAUGAUCUUGUGAGUUUCUUCAUAAUUUCAUUAGUUUAUAGGUCUAAGGUAUAAUGAUUAAUGACAUAAAAAGUUGGGUUUUGGUUUUUCUCUUGUUACCUUAUUCCUAUCCUUCUAGUGUAUCCUAACUUUUUUAGAUGAUAACUCUGUUCUGAGGUGACCAAAAAUCAUGAGAAAAUUUUGUAUGAUAGCAGACUUCAAUCUAUUUUUCUAACCUCAAGAAUCACCCCCAUAUCUAUUGUGGUAUUGGAGUUAUAAAAAUCACAAGAUGAUACAGUUGUGCUGUCAGAAAUCUGGACAAGUUUCGGGUACUUACUGUUUGAGGCAAAUGUAACUAUAGAAUUUGGAAAAUUAUUCUAUAGAAAAGUUAUAGGCAAUUUGCUAAGCUUUCCAACGGUGUAAGAUGGAACUUUAUUGAAUAGGUUGAACCCGAGAUAUGAUAUUUACAAUUGGAUGUGUCUGUUCUGUUUCAAAAUCUGGACAGAUCUGGUAUUUCCUAAUUUCAGCCAAAUUAACUUCAGAAUAUGGGAAAACGUUGUAAAUUAACGUUGUAGAGGAUUUUAUAAGCUUUUCAACAAUAUAAGGAUCGUCAUCAUAUGAGUUAUGUGGCUCGAGAUAUGACUGCUACAAUUUACUGCAUUUGUGCUGAGACAUUGUCAAGAGGGAUGUUAUGUUUGGCUGUUUUACCUAAGCUCAAAGAUAGAACCUAAGGAAGUAUUCUAUAUGAAAGUUGUAAGGAGUUUCAUAAUUUUUCUAACAGUAUAAGCUAAAACUUUAUUGGAUUAAUAGAAUAAGAGUUAUACAUGUUUUACUAUGCUGGUGUUUUUCAUAUCGCGAGGAAAUUUCAGGAUACCUGUUUGUUCUCUUACUCAUAAGUUUCUUGGGAUGUCAGAAGGUCUCUAUGCUAGAUAACUUGUCAAGAAAAAGUGCAGGCUACCUUUCUUGUGUCCCUAGUUGACCUUAUCUUAAGGGGGGUAGUCUAGUUAAAGGAGUUGCAAUGAGAAGGAUUGGCUAGUGUUGGAUCAUAUGUAAGGAUCACAAGUGUUUGGUAAAUUUGUUUUUGACUCAAGAUAUCAUCCCAUUUAGAGAAUAUUAAUGGAGAUAUAUGUCAUUACUGAUGCUCAUGGAUUGAGAGUUAUGUUUAUGAAAAUCAGAUAACACCAAAGUUUAUGAAGUUGUAGGUACAAUGUUUGAGUGAAGCAACUUAAUUGUGAUAAAGGUACUAAUGGUUAGAACUUGGUGAGGAAAGUAACCUUGGAUUAAGAGACUUGGUACAAUCAAUUUAAAAGACUUUGAUGUGUAGCAUCCAAAAAGGAUAGGAGAACUAGUCCCUACUGUUCCCCAAUCCAUCUCGUCUUAAGGGGGGUAGUACCUUGAUAUCACGGAUGAUGCAUUUUUAAACUAUCUUGAAGUGAUAAUUGUCCUCUGAGAUAUUCUAUGGUUAUGAUCAUCUAUCCUUGCCUUGUUACUGACGUUGGUCACUUGAUGACAGGGAGUGUAGUGUCCCAUGGAUCAGGAGCCCAAUAUGACACCUCUCAUUUAUAUGUGGGAAGAGCAUGAUUAUUCUGCCUUUGAAGAAUGUUAUGAGUAUGACAAAGCUGAGUAUUAUCAAAAUAAUUAUACAGAAGAGCAAGUUGACAUUGAAUCAAAUCAUAAUCCACAACGACGGAAGCAAAAAAGGAAAAGUCAAAAGAAGCCUGCUCAUGGAAGUAAGGUGCAACGAAACUAUAUCAAUGGAAGACUGAGCAAUGUGGAUGUUGGGCAUUCGUAACGUCACUACCAAAAGUAGACUUAGUUUUCUAAUUCUGAUAACGGCGCCAAAAAUGCCAAACCUAUCCCUCAUACCACUUAAGCCAAGUUGUCAUCCCCAGCAUGACAUGAGAGACGCGGUAUUGAAAUAUGCAAUUGCUCUUCUGAAUAAAUAAUAAAUGAGAACUGCAAGCGCACAGAUUAAUACCGAUGUAGCAUUUUAACCGGGAAGUAUUGUAGGUAUCGUUAUUUAUAUUUUUACCACUGGAAGGGAUUGCUAAACAUCAAUGUUGAUUAUAGAAUGGAAUAUAGAAUUGAGUAUCUAUCAUUGCAUGUAUAAUUGAGAGCAUUUAUCUAUCUCGUUCAUAUAGGGAUAAAUGUCACAUAAAAGAUAGAUAAAGUAUGAAUGGUGACAAAGAUAAUUAAUCUGAUCAGCAUAACUUAGCCACAUAUAAAUAUGAUAAGCACCUCAAUUAGAUAUUCUAGCAAGUCAUUAGCAUGGAAUUAGGAUGAACAACAAGAAUAUUCCCUAAGUUAUUCUCAACUAUACAGUCUAGCACAUCAUAGUUAGUGCAAUUAUACUUGGCAAUCAUUGCGAGACAAGACUACGCCCAUGCAUAGUGAUAUGAUCAAGGUAAAUGAGAAACAUCGCAAUCACUCCCCUGUAAUAAUGUUGCUCUGCUAGCCCAAUACACGAGAGGGGGACUAUAUAAGAAUCAAUGGAGCUGUCACUACCACGAACUACCCUAUGAUCUGGCAUAUAGGGUACAAUCGCAGAUAAAUACGGUAUAGGCACCACGCCUACACAAUACUUAUCAUUUACCCACUGUACACAUGGAUAAAUGCUAUACGAUCCUAAACAUGUAUAUAAAUCCAAUCUAACUAAGCCAAGUAUAUAACUAUGAUAAACUAAGAAUAAUAUAAUUGUGAAUAUAAACAAGUAGAGCAAAGUCAUAAUCAAUAUAUUGAAGUAGAACAAAGUCAUAUUCAUAAUAUUGAAGAACAAAGAUGAACAAUUGAAGAACAAUAGAGAAUUACCAAGAAUCCUCUUGACAGAUCCGGAAACCAAUCGAAGCUUGACUCCUUCUAGUUCUAAUCCUAUGUAGCUAUGCUAAUCUAGAGAUCUAAUUGAUGUGGUGGCUCUAGGGCUUGAUCAGAGGCUUCUUCUCCCAAGAUGAAUAAUAAAUUAGGGUUGAGAGGCAAUCUCCUCCAGGGGCCAGGGGGUCUGGUUAUAUAGUCCUUCCAAGUGAAUGUGGGCCGUUGGAUCAAACCGACAUUGAUUGAACGGUUAUCCUUGAUCCUUUAGAUCGGUGGAGCAUAAUCCGCGAGAUUGGCCGUGAUUGGCCCUGAGGCCAGGGCGGGCGCCCUGCCCCCGAGCCCGUUCGGUCUCCCGUUCGUUCCCGUGGCUUCUCGACUCUUCUAGAUGUAGGAUAAUUGUGCGGCACAUUAAUAUCUCUAUGUAAACCUGACAUGUGGGCCUUUCUUCCAUAUUUCCUGAUAACCCCCUGCAGAAAUAGACAAACACAUAACUCUUGGAAUUUUGUCAGAUAAAACCCUAAGUCUGGAUGUCGGUUGCAUUUGGAUCCUAUUCUUUGUUUAUUUGAUAAUUAAAUUUGAUACUUAAGGACCGUCAACAAACUCCCCCAUGCUUACCUCUUGCUCGUCCCUGAGCAAGGAUAAUCUCAGUGAUGUAUCAGAAGUUGUUGUAAUGUCUUUAAAAGUUGACGGUACACAUGCUUUUAAAUGAGGUCUCAUCUCUGAGUUAGAGUAAACUAUCAAGACUUAAAACUUACUUAUUUUACCUUUCACCAUGGGACUUGUAACCGUCACUUCUGUCUUGAGUAGUUAAAAGAUAGAACAGUCUAGUCAAGUGCCAUGUCUCUUAUUCUUGAUCAGCUAUAGCUCUGGAGUUUUUGCAGAUUUUCAAAUAAAACUCAGAGAUUCCUUGUAUGACUCUCUCAGAUCUCUCUUUUGUGGUAUUUCUGGAUCCUUACCAAGGCAGUGAUGGUAUAUGCCUUCUCUCAAAAUAUGUAGUAUUUAUGGUAUAAGGCAUAGUGGCAUUGCCUUCUCUCUCACUCUACUCUAAUAAGGCUUUAAUAUCUGGAGCUCAUAGGUGGGAGAUAAAGUAUACAUACUUACAAGACAUUUAUUGUAUAGUCAAACCAUAGAUCCAAAGAAACAAGUCAAUAAGUCAAAUGAAGAUGUGCAUGUGUGGCGAAUCAAUGGUAUAUGGUGAUGAUGGUAAUAACAAUGGUGAAAGUCUAAUUCUACUUUUGCUCUUUUGAGGGGAUACAUACCUUCCUUGCUCUUUUAAACUUUUUGAGGAGAAUGAGAUGCUCUAUAUUUUUCUUUUUCUUUCCUCUUAGGUGGGUAUCUUGUACCCCUAAUUCUACUGUCAGACACUUGUCCAUUUUUACCUCUCGUCUCACUUUUUCUUUUCUUUCGAGGUUCCGGGCACUUGCCCCUUUUUAUUUCCUCGUAUCUUUUUUCUUCUUUUUCUCUUUUUCUUUUUUUAGAGCGCUCAUCUCUUGAAAUAAUAUAGCAAGUGGUAGUAACCAAGAUAACUUGAGCAUUUACAGGGGAAAAACAGAAAUGUUUUUGGUUAUUCUCUCCCGGAUUAGGAGUAGAAUAUUUUUGCGUGGCUUUGGAGAUGGAAAUGGGUGGAUAUAUGUGGAUGCGUACUUCCGGAGUAGAAGCAGCAUGUGUGAGUGAAUGUGCAAGUGAAUCUUGAUUUAACCACAUGACAAGCUCCUAAGGGUCUACACAUCUUGACCACACUUAAUGCUCAUAAGCAGUAAAAAGUAAAUGUGUGGCUCAAAGUCUAGCAAGCAUGUAUAUAUGGUUGUGGUAGGAAUUUAAACUCUCAUCAUACAGGAGCUCAUCAUGUGUUAUUUUAAAGAUUUUCAAAGGUAAAAUUCUCCAUGUUUCUAGCAUCUCUAGGAAUAGAUAAAUAGCAGCUCAACCUUCCCAUAUCAUAUCCAUUAACAACUUAGAAUUCAGAUCAAGUUCUCUUUCCACAAGUUUAGAUUUAGAGCAAGCUUUAAAUUAUAAUAGUUAUGUCUAAACUAGAGAGAAAACUCAAAUAAAAUUAGGCAGAGCAACUAUUCAUCAUAUCCAUGCUAGAGUUUUAUUAUUAAGAUUCAGUUUAGCAUAGCCACUUUAUUUAUUUCUUAAACACACUAAGCAAAAGAUAUAUAAGCACACAAUUUUUAUUUGGUUUUUCAUGGUUAUGUAUAUUUAUAUAAGUAUAAGUAUAAAGAUAGAUAGAAAUACUUAGCGGGAUAAAUGGGGGUGCUCUCCCCCAAGCUAAAUUUUGACGUAAUUUCUUCUGAUGUAGCUAGCAGGUGGCAUAGGUGUAUUUGAGAGUCGGCAACACCCUGGUAGCGAUUAGAAUGUCCUCCGUCUGCUAGUCUUCUUGAUCCUUAAAUUAUGUGGAGCUCAAAUAGACAACAAAGCUUUGUGGAACUGAUUAAGUGUUAGCAUAAAUAUCUAGCCUUUAUCAUGUUGAGCUUCCUCAAUAAAUGUUACUCUCUAUUUUUAUAUUUUCAUUUUAUAGAGCAGAAAAAAUAUUUAUUUUAUUUUUAUGCCACCACAGUAAAUGUACUUAUGGGGUUUAUGCCACUCAUAUACUCACAUGGGGCUUACUAUUUUUAACAUUUUUAUUUUUCUUUUCAGGAUAGUAUGAACAUAAUUAACUAAGUAAACUAUUUGAAAUAAUUGAAAGGAAAAAGAAUAACUACUAAGUUUACCUCUUGUCAAGGCGUUCGGUAUUUUUAAGUCCUCCGAACGGGACUCUCCGUUUUCUCAAUCGUCCUGGGAUUUCUUGGAUGGCGUAGUCGGUGCUUCCAGUGGUGCCUCUUCUUCGUGUAUAGUUAUCUUCUCUCUCCACCCCUGACUUGGUGCUACGAUCUCCUCAGGAUAAUCUUGUUCAAGCUGUAUGUCUUCAGACCUUACAACUUCUCCUUCGUACUCUGCCCAUCCGUCCUUGAUGAUUUGCCUCCUCUGGUUGCGAUUGCGUUGUCUUCUUCUUAUCUGUUUAGUCUUCAACGAUAUAGUUAGGGUCAGUAAAAUAGCGGCGUACCUUCUCUGAGGGGAAGUGCAUGUGGACUUCUCCAGUUCCAAUGUAGAUGAUUGCUUUAAUGGUGCUGAGGAACGGUCUUCCAAGGAUGAUGGGUGGAUCGUACUCAUCUUCUCCCAUGUCAAUCACCUGAAAGUCUGUAUGGACAAAAUGAUCGUCUAUUUUGACAGGGACAUCAGUUACUAUACCUUCAACCUCUCGAAAUGUCUGAUCUGCCAUCUGGAGCUGAAUGUAUGUCUGUUUUAAGGGCAUGGUUCCGAACAAGAGCCGAUAGGUGACUGCGGCCAUUAUGUUGACGCCCGAUCCGGUGUCGCAAAUUGUCUUGUAGAAGUUGUAUCCAUUAAUGGAGCAGUGGAUGCUUGGCAUGCCUGGGUCAUCCUUCUUGGUCAGAAACGGUGACUUAAGUCGAUGAUCUUGACCUCCUUGAACUGCAGUGACCAUCUUAGCUGACUCGGUCCACACUUGCUUGUUCUAUUCCUCCUGUUGGUCCUCUUCCUUGGUUCAUGUCGGGAUUGCUCUGGGAUUUGUAUAGUCUUGUUCUUGAAGGAAAAUGACUCUUUUCUUCCCUUGAUGUAGAAACUGAUCUUGGCAGCACUGGCGUAAAUGAGAGCUCCCGAGGUGUUCAGGAAUGGCCUUCCUAAGAUGAUGGGUGCCCUCUCAUUAUUACCGGUCUCUAUCACCACAAAGUCUGCUGGGGCGUACAAGGUACCAACUUGGACACAGAGGUUCUUCAAUAUUCCCUUUGGGAAACUUAACAUCCAAUCUGCAAAUUGCAAACACAUGGUUGUCCAUACUAAAGGAUAUGUAAAGAAUUUUUCAUAGAGUACCCUGGGCAUAAUGUUGACACUAGAGGCAAAGUCGCAGAGUGCUUCUUGGGAGUCCACCAUGCCGAUGGAGAUCGGGAUAACGGGGCGUCCUGGAUCGCCUCUCUUGACCGGCAGAAGGUCAGUAGUAACUUUAGUGACGGGGUUACUCUAGUAGUUACCUGCAUCAAACAUGUCUACAAGAUUUGCAGAUUCUAAUCCUUCCGGUUGUGAUGGAAUACUGGGGUUAGUAGUAGGAACAGCAGCAGCUAUUUGAUUUAAUUGAGAUUCAAUCAUUUUAUUAAAGCUAAUUUGAUUCUUGAUGGCAGUAGAAAAAUUAUCCAUUCUAUUAUUUAUAUUUUCUAACAUUUUAUCAUUUGAUGCCAAAUUCUUAGAUAGGUUAUCUAUUAGCUUUCCUUGAUUAGACACUAACUCUCUCAGAGGUGGAAAAUCAUUGUUAUUAUUAUAAGAAUUGUUAUCUUGAUAAUUACCUGAGUAGUUAGGCCUCUGUUGAUUCCAACCUUGAUUUUGUUGAGGACGGUUGUAGUAGUAGUUGUUGUUAUUGUUGAUGUAAUUCACAUCCUCAAGCAUCUCAGGGCAGUGAUUGCCUGAGUGUCCAGUAUCUCCACACUCUUCACAAGUCAUGUGAGAGUCGUACACGUGCAUAACUUCUUUCUUAUCUCCAGCUAUAUCAUCGAGCUUCUUCAUGAGUAGGUCUAGCUUUGUAGACAGCAUGUCUACCUCCUUUAGCUGAUGCAUACCUCCACCUCUCUUGCGUGUCUGGGUCCUCUCUUCAUUCCAGCUUUGGUUGGACGCCAUCUUCUCCACAAGAGCUGUGGCUUGUGAUAUGGUGAGUGAUAGGAAUGCUCCUCCAGCUGCAGCAUCCAUGGUCUCUCAGGCACUAUUGCCGAGCCCAUGAUAAAAUGUCUGCAUCAGUAGCCAGCUCUCCAUUCCAUGACGGGGACAUUCUAGGAUGUAGUCUUAGAAAUGCUCCCAUGCUUCUGGAACGGAUUCAUCUUGUUGUUGCUGAAAACUUGUAAUUUUCCCACGGAGAGCAUUGGUCUUGCCCAUGGGAAAGAACUUAGCCAGAAAGUUCGUAGAGCAGAGUGCCCACGUAGUAUUCUUCUCUUUUGUAGCGUAGAACCACUCCUUCGCUCUCCCCAACAGUGAGAAUGGGAAGAGGCGAAGUAGUAUAGCAUCUCUAGGACUCCUGAUAUGGUAAAUGUGCUGCAAAUCUCCAGAGAGUGUUGGAGAUGAGCACUAGCAUCUUCGUGUGCCUUCCCACAGAACUGGUUGGAUUGCACCAUGUUGAUAAGUCCAGGCUUGAGCUCAAAGUUGCCGUCGAUCUCUGCAGCAGGUCCGGUAUGGAUGUUGUCCGUAGUGGGAGCUGAGAACUCAUAGAUCGAUUUGUUUGCCAUGACUUCGAAUUCUGAAGACAAGUUCCGGGUGAAACUUCGGUGAUCUUCUUGAUUGGAUGAAGCUUCGUGCUGAAGUGUUGAUGAUCUCUUCUUGUGCUUGGCUCUUGUUUUUCUCAAUAACGCUUCGGGAUUGUCAACAAAAUUUCCUGGAAGAUGUCUUCUAUUCAUACAUUACCCUGGAUAAAAUAAAAUAGAAAAAUAUUAGGGUAAAACUGAAUGAGAGAAUUGAUAAUCUCAAUCAUUAUUAGUGAUGCGAAUGAUGACUCGACCAUAUUCAUUCAUGAUUAGUAAUCAACCUUCCCCGGCAACGGCGCCAAAAAUGCUUGUUGGGCAUUCUUAACGUCACUACCAAAAGUAGAUUUAGUUUUCUAAUUCUGUUAACGGCGCCAAAAAUGCCAAACCUAUCCCUCAUACCACUUAAGCCAAGUUGUCAUCCCCAGCAUGACAUGAGAGAUGCGGUAUUGAAAUAUGCAAUUGCUCUUCUGAAUAAAUAAUAAAUGAGAUCUGUAAGCGCACAGAGUAAUACCGAUGUAGCAUUUUAACCGGGAAGUAUUGUAGGUAUCGUUAUUUACAUUUUUACCACUGGGAAGGGAUUGCUAAACAUCAAUGUUGAUUAUAGAAUGGAAUAUAGAAUUGAGUAUCUAUCAUUGCAUGUAUAAUUGAGAGCAUUUAUCUAUCUCUUUCAUACAGGAAUAAAUGUCACAUAAAAGAUAGAUAAAGUAUGAAUGGUGACAAAGAUAAUUAAUCUGAUCAGCAUAACUUAGCCACAUAUAAAUAUGAUAAGCACCUCAAUUAGAUAUUCUAGCAAGUCAUUAGCAUGGAAUUAGGACGAACUACAAGAAUAUUCCCUAAGUUAUUCUCAACUAUACAGUCUAGCACAUCAUAGUUAGUGCAAUUAUACUUGGCAAUCAUUGCGAGACAAGACUACGCCCAUGCAUAGUGAUAUGAUCAAGGUAAAUGAGAAACAUCGCAAUCACUCCCCUGUAAUAAUGUUGCUCUGCCAGCCCAAUACACGAGAGGGGGACUAUAUAAGAAUCAAUGGAGCUGUGACUACCACAAACUACGCCCGCGGUCUGGCAUAUAGGGUACAAUCGCAGAUAAAUACGAUAUAGGCACCACGCCUACACAAUACUUAUCAUUUACCCACUGUACACAUGGAUAAAUGCUAUACGAUCCUAAACAUGUAUAUAAAUCCAAUCUAACUAAGCCAAGUAUAUAACUAUGAUAAACUAAGAACAAUAUAAUUGCGAAUAUAAACAAGUAGAGCAAAGUCAUAAUCAAUAUAUUGAAGUAGAACAAAGUCAUAUUCAUAAUAUUGAAGAACAAAGAUGAACAAUUGAAGAACAAUAGAGAAUUACCAAGAAUCCUCUUGACAGAUCCGGAAACCAAUUAAAGAUUGACUCCUUCUAGUUCUAAUCCUAUGUAGCUAUGCUAAUCUAGAGAUCUAAUUGAUGUGGUGGCUCUAGGGCUUGAUCAGAGGCUUCUUCUCCUAAGAUGAAUAAUGAAUUAGGGUUGAGAGGCUCUCUCCUCCAGGGGCCAGGGGGUCUAGUUAUAUAGUCCUUCCAAGUGAAUGUGGGCCGUUGGAUCAAACCGACAUUGAUUGAACGGUUAUCCUUGAUCCUUUAGGUCGGUGGAGCAUAAUCUGCGAGAUUGCCCGUGAUUGGCCCCGAGGCCAGGGCGGGCGCCCAAGGGGGAGGGCGGGCGCCCUGCCCCCGAGCCUGUCCGGUCUCCCGUUCAUUCCCGUGGCUUCUGGACUCUUCUAGAUGUAGGAUAAUUGCGCGGCAUGUUAAUAUCUCUAUGUAAACCCGACAUGUGGGCCUUUCUUCCAUAUUUCCUGAUAACCCCCUGCAGAAAUAGACAAACACCAAAACUCAUGGAAUUCUGUCAAAUAAAACCCUAAGUCUGGAUGUCGGUUGCAUUUGGAUCUUUUUCUUUGUUUAUUUGAUAAUUAAAUUUGAUACUUAAGGACCGUCAACAGUGGAUAGGCACAACAUUCAAGGAGCUACUAAACUGGUGGGUGGCUAUAUUCAAGUAGACUCAGUGCUAGUUUUUGCUCUGUUUGACCCGAGUGCUUCACAUUCUUUCAUUUCCACUGACUUGGUAAAGACGAUCGAGCGGGUGAAGUGUCCAACAAGAAAGACUUUGUUAGUUCAAACCCCAGUGGGAGAAAUACAAGCAGAUCAGGUUUGCUCGAAUAUCAAUCUUGUCAUAAGUAAGGAAAACUUCACUGUAAAUCUCAUUGUGCUAGAGUCACUCGAUAUCCCUGUGGUUCUUGGUAAUGGAUGGUUGUGUGCACACAAAGGAGUGAUCUAUGCUACCCAGUGGAAAAUUUUCUUAACCGCACCAUGAGGGAAAAGAAUUGAGUAUCAAGGUGGUCCACUCCUACCUAAGGAGGCAAAUCCAUGCUAAGUUAUCAAGUCCUUGAGCUGUAAGUCAAAAAGUUAGUAGUAAAGAUGGACUUUGAUCAAUUAUGAAUAAUAGACAUUCUAUGGAAAAUUUGAGUUUACCUUUGGUAUGCAAGUUGUAAAGUUGAAAGAGUUAUCAAGAUCUUUAUCCUGUUUUCUCUUAGAGGAUCCGUGUCUCUUUUGAAUCUCGAGGACGAGAUUCAUUUUAAGGGGGUAGAUUUCUAACACCCUAAAAAUUGUUCCUUUGGAAAUAGAGCUAAAAUGAUUUAAUUUUGUAUUUUUUGUGCUCAUAGAAUAUAGGAAAAAUAAUAUUUUUCAUUUAAAUAAAAUUUAUCUAAGGAAUUUAGCAACAUGGUUGUGCAUUCAUUUUUGGAGUAUUGGUUUAUUGCAUUGUGUGGAUUUAAUAAAAGUUCAAAGUAAUUCAAAUUGUUUGUAAAACAAUUUUUCAAAUUGUUUUUGAAUUGGCUUUGAAAUAAAAACAACAACAACAAAAAAUCUCCCUAUCCCAGCUUUAGGCCCGAGUGGCACUAGAGUCCAUCUCGACCUCUCCCCCUUUCUCUUUUUUCCCCUCACUCGGCCCAACGCUCAAAUCAGUCAGCAGUAGCUUUUUGGCCCAGAUCCAUCCCUCUUCGCGGUGGCCCAGUUGGCUGCCAGCUCCUCUCCCGCAGGCCAGCGCGCACUCGGCCCAACCGCAGGCCGCGCCCUUCCUUUCCCCCUCACUCUCUUUGGCCUAGUUCUGCUUACAGGCCGACCCAGCAGCAGCAGCGUGGCCUGCCAGCGUGCGCUGCCCUUCCCUCCUCCUCUCUCUGGCAAAUCGGCCCCGUGCCUUUUAGUCACUGCCAAGUGGGACCCACAGGUCAGUGACUCUCUCCCCUUCUUCCUCACCGUGACCAAGCCUACCUCUGGCUAACAGGCGAGUCCGCGCCAAUCCCGAUUUUCCUGAGAUUCCUUCGCGACUCUUGCAUCAAGCUCCUAUAAUGCUCCAAUCCCUGCACGUGCCCCCGUUUUUCCCCUUCUAGCCGCCACCCUACCCUAGCAGCGCCUGGUGGCCGCCGUUCGGAUCUCCUGAGCCUGAGCAUCUCUGCGGCAGUGGAGUGCCUGAUUCUCUGCCGUGUCGGCGAAUUGAAGUAGAGUACGAGCCUCAUGAUGCUCCUGCGAAGCUACAGAGCCCUUCGCUUGCUCUCUACCAUGCUCUACUCCUCUCUCACCAACGCCGAACUUGUCCAGGGUACCGUCACCCGCAACCUCUCACCGCUCGUCUCCACAGCAUCUCCCCGACCGCGAAAAAGGCCCUAGAUGAGUUCACACGAAGUUUAUUUACGCUCUGAUGCCUUCCCCGUCAAAAAUGUGGUCUCUAGGGCCAAAAAUGCCAACUCCGACGAGCCUCCGGUGAUGGCGCCGCUGUCGGGCUGCUGUGACCGCUGGCGCCCUCUUUUCCUAGGCCCAGAUUUGAUCUGAACCGUCCAACCGAGAUCCAACGAUCCAUAGUGGCUUAUACCCCUUCGGCCUAGCACUUUUUUUAAACAGUCCUUGAGUUUUUUAGCUAUCUAACCCGCCAUCCAAAACGCACUUAUAAAAUACGCUUUCAUUGAUUAAAAACGUAUUCCACUCUAGUUUAUGUCAAAAAUACGUUUUCUAUAAUUACAAGUUUACCACUGAGUUUGUUUUAGCCAUUAAAUAAUCAUUUUAACUCGGAUUUGACUCAUUCAAAUUAUGUUAGAUUCGUAAUAACAAGAUCUACAUGUUAGUAAACUUGGUUUACUCAGUUUGAAACCUUUUAUUUUCAUGACCUUAUUUAAUUAAUUACUUUUCUAAGAAAAUCUUAGAAAAUUCAUGUCUUCUCCAUUUUAACUCUGAUUUUUGUGAUCUUUACGUCUGUGAGAUCGUAGCGAUACGUAGAAUCAUUUUAUAAACUUUCCCUACUGUUUUUAUAUGAUUGGUGUACUGUUCUAAUUAUAGCCUUGUUUGCUUCGUGUAUGUUUGUCUCUGAUUGUUUGUGUGUUGAUGAUCGAUGAUCAGGAUAAGGCGGUGAGCAGUGCUUCGGUGAUCAAGAUGAGUACUUGGACAACUAGCAAGAUCAGCAAGAGAAAUUGGAUUAAGGCAAGUAUAGAAUUUGGGUUUUAAUUUUGUGUCCAUAAUCUUGUGACUAGAUUAGUGUUAAGUAACAAACGAUGAAAAUGACUUUUUAGCCACUUGAUGAUUUAUCUGUAAGUAAUAACCAGGACAACAGUGUAACCAUGAGGGCUAUAAUAGCUCUGGCUUUAGUUAAGUAUGAGUAACUUUUCUAGCUCAUUAGCGGUUACCCGUGAGCAGACCGUGGAUUCCUACGAGUGGAUCACACGGACUGACUAUUGAAACCAAGCGGCCCUAACUGGUUAGACGAACCUUUGAAAGACUUCAUAGUAAUCCCUGCCAACCUUCCUUGGUAGUGGGUUAAGAGGCUGAUCACUUGGGGCGAAAGGGUAAAUCAUGACUCAUGGGUAAAGAUGUACAACCUCUGCAGAGUGUUUCAAACUAGUAUCUCAUGGUCAAGCCUUGGGGAUUCUUGCAUUAAGGGUGAUGAUUAUUGUUGUGUUAAUAUGCUCAUUAUUUAUUGUUUAAUGCUUUACAUAAUUUAUGUCACAUUGAUCAUGAGAUUGUGGGAUCUAUACAAUCUAGUUGCUAUACUUGUGGAAUUCGACAUGGACUCACUCUUGCUAUUUCCACCACACCCUUCAGGAAAAGUGUUGGGCUUGUGAUCAACCAGUCAGUUUGGAUCCUAUAGAGAGAAGUUAAUACCCAAAGUUUGGAGUUGUCUAUCCGCUAUUUGCUAUCUAAGGUUAUCUUUUUUAUACUAAGUAUGUUAUAUAUUUAUGCAUUGUCUUUGGAUAUUACCCCUAAUUUGUAGCUAUAUGUGAGAUUUGGCUUUUAAGACUCACAUAUGGUAUAUAUCUGGUUUUGUCCUUAAAAUCGGGUAUUACACGCCCAGUCACCACUGGGUCCUAGGAAAAGCUAAGCGCUCAGAAGGGACCCCUGCCCCAGGCCAGGAUAGUGUUGUUUGGAAUCUUUCCCCUUUGUUCUCCCUUUUUUGUUUUUCUCUUUCUUCACGUUUGUUGACGGUCGAUAACGUCAACUUUUACUAGAACUUUAGACCUGAAGGAAAACAUGAAAACACACUAGUCUCGGGCUUUAUCUGUCAAUUUCCAUGAGUUUUGCAUAUUCUGUAUUUUCUAGGGUGAAUUCUAGGAAAGCUGAAAAGAGGGACUCUAGUGCAAAAUAAACAUGAAACUUAUCCACCACGGAAAACGUCGUGAGAAGACUCAGGAAGGAUCGAGAAGGCACCCGAAGCAACGGGGGGCCUCACGGCUACCAAGUGUGGCCGGCCGACCCCACCCUAGCGCCGACGAACGCCCCCCUUAGGGUUUUGGCCCUCCUCUUCUGGUAGCUUCCUCCAUCGCCUCUCCUGAUGCAUCUCGGCCCUUAGUUAGGUCGGUUUGAUCCUACAGCGCACGCGCAUCCCACUGGACUAUAAAUGCAUGGAUAGACCCCCCUAGAGAGAGCCAAUUCAUUAUUCAUCAAGGCCUCAAGCCAUCAAGCAUCAAGCACCUUCAUGUUCAUCAAGAGCCUUCUAGUUCAUAGUCUAGUUAGUUAGAUUAGAAGUAGAGUAGAUCUAGUUCUUCAUCGGGAUCUGGAGCCCCUGGCGUCGGUCAAGAGCGCAAGAGUUCGGUAAUAGAUCUAGUUCUUACUUUAUAGUAUUCAAUUGUAUAUUAGGGAGACUUUAUUCUUAAUAGAUUCAUGUGUUCUUAAUUGCAUUACUCAUUGUCUACUUUGAUUAUAUGUUUAGGAUAGUUGGUUUGAUCUUAUUGAAUUCAUGUAAUUGCACGUAUAGCGUUUAUCUAAUUGAUCAUUGGGUAGAUGGUACACAAUAUUGUUGACACCGUUUUCGGACAUGCAUCUGAGAAAUUAAUGGAGUACGGAUCGGCAAGCGGAAAAGUAAUGACUGACUGUCAGAAGAGUUACCGAAGGGUUAUGAUGCCGAUGAUAAAGCAGCAGGAUGUGACCAAGUCAAGGGAUGAUGAUUGCUCUAUGCCGAUGGCCGAUGUUGAUGGUUGCCGAUGCCGAUGGAGGGUGAUUUGCUGAUGAUAGCAGAGGAAGGUGCAGGAAUUGUCAAUAGGAUGGUGACGGUGUGCCGAUCGCCUAUGGUGGAUAGAUUAAUGUUUUCCAUAGUUAUUAGAGUUUGUUUUACAUACGGAUUCUGUUCGAUUUGGAAUUAGAGUCCUAGUCGUGUCUGAUUGUAACUCUUUUAGACAGGGUAUAAAUGUAGACCCCGUAGCAAUGUAAGAGACAUACACAAUCAAUCAAACACAAGUUUUUACAUCUAUUCCAGCAUCUACUUUUCGAUGACUUCGUCAACUUGCAUAUUUUCCUUUUACUUACGAGUUCUUAAGGAUUCAUCAAGUCAAACUCGGUGAGUUCUCAAGUUCCACGUGAAUACCUCUUGGCCGUGGCAUCUUGGCGUAUCGCUGUUGUCGGGACUAAAGUAUUCGAGUUAUCACCUUUGUCGAUUGUAAGGUCAAAUCGGCUGGCACGCCUUAACAUCGAAUCGGAUAUUAGUCUUUUGUGUUUGCAGAUCCACUUUUGCAUCAAGACAUCUUUUGGCAUGCCCGGUGGGACAGAUUCAGAUUCAUCAUCAAGAUCAACAUGUCGAAUACUGAUUUCGAUACGGAUAACAUCAUUCCCGUAACUGAAGCCAAUCUCAGAGAUGAGCAGAAGCAAGCUAUGGCAAAAGCUAUGGAGGAAUACAAGCAGCUAUGUUUGAAAUCCUUCAGUGUCAAUAGGAGCAGCGAGGUGAUCCAAAAGGAAGCAUUGUCGAUGCCUCGACAAAUCACUUUUGAAGGUAAUCCUGGUAAAUUGCAAGAGAUGAUGGAUAAUGCUAUUAAUCAUGCUUUAAUCAAUCAAUCCAGUGUGCUGUCCAAUACAGUUUUCAAUGUUGUGGCUAGAACCUUCAAAGAGGGACAUAUACCACCAUCUUAUGUGGGCUCAGCCUAUCAUCAGCCAAGAUCAUCAUCGGUUACAACUCCAUCGGCUCCUCCAGCCGUUGCGGGUACGGAAGUUACUUCUCCUCCAAGCACAUUAGGGAUGACUAAUGGGCAAUCUACACCGAUGAGGACUAAUAGCAACAUCAGAGGGACAAGUCCAACUUGCUACAGAUCUAUUGGCAUCGGCAAUGUCAGGGUCUGUAUUCCAAAAUUGUCAAGUUGCUCCCAACGGGUGGGGAUAUGGUAUGCCUCCAGACUUUGGUGCAAAUAGUUCUGGGACGUCUCAAGUGGCUGAUGUGACAGGCAAGGCUCCUAUGACCUCGGCACCCCCAGUGUCGCCGAUGACUCAGAAUCCUCAGUAUUCUACAACCACUACUGCAAGGCCUUUUACUGAGAAUUCUCAGAUGCCGACAUUCCUGAUGCCUAACGCAUCGGCAGAUCCACUGCCGACGCAUCAAAGGUUCAUGACUUAGACAGGGUAUGUCAACCCAAUGAUGAUACCCAACUAUCAGCCAUCAGUAGGGCCUACACUGAUGAAUGUUAACAAUGGAUGGACAGGGCAGUUUGUCUUUCCAUAAAUGGCUCAGCAGAAUCAUCAGGCUACGAGAUUCCAGCACAGACAGAUGCAGCUUGGUUUUCAGAAUCAAGGACCAAUCAAUCAGCCGAUGAAUCUCGCUCAGCAAGCUGGUGGCCUACAGACUGUGGCUAAUGCUAUGUUCCUGGGAGAUCGUGCACAUCAAAGACACGUGGAAGCUUAUCAACAGGCGCCAGAACCUUAACCUGUACAUCGGCAGGAUGCCGAUGCUUAUUGGGCUGAUAAGAUAGCUGAAGUAAUGAGAGAUCAAUUUGGGAUAAAACCCAAAGUCAAUAUUUACUCUUAUCGGACACCGUAUCCAACUGCGUAUGACUUGAUCCCGCUUCCAAAUCGGUACAAGGUGCCGGAUUUCACCAAAUUCUCUAGACAAGAUGACACGUCAACCAUGGAACAUGUUAAUAGAUUUAUCAUCUAGUGUGGAGAAGCUGCUAAUAGGGAUGAAUUAAGAGUUCGUUUAUUCUCAUCAUUUUUGUCCGGAUCGGCCUUCACUUGGUUUAUUUCAUUACCUCCAAACUCAGUAAUCACUUAGGCCAGUUUAGAGAAGCAGUUUCAUAAAUACUUCUUUUCUGGAGUCCAUGAAAAGAAGAUUACCGAUUUAGUCAGGCUGAGACAACAUAAUGAUGAAUCAGUGGAAAGUUUUGUGCAAAGGUUGCGGGAUGUCAAGAACAAGUGCUAUAGUCUGAUUCUGGACGAUCGGCAGCUAGCCGAUUUGGCUUUCUAGGGAUUGUUGCCACAUAUCAAGGACAAUUAUGUGUCUCAAGAGUUUGAAAGUCUAAGUCAUUUGGUGCAGAGGAUUUCUGAUCAAGACAUCAAGGCUUUUGAACCUAGGAAAACUUGGAACAAAAAGGUGUCAUUUGUUGAUGAGGCAACAAGUUCAGAUUCUGAUGAAGAACCAGUCAUCGGCUUGGCAGAAUGGGUGAAGAACAAAAAGCCGAUGUCUUGUCCUUUCGGCCAUAAAGAACCAGAAAAGUUGCGUUUGACAUCACAAAGGCCGAUAGGAUAUUUGAAUUUCUGCUUCAAGAGGGGCAAAUUAAAAUUGUCACCCAACCACGUGAUUCCAUCGGUAGAAGAGUUGAAGAAGAUCAAGUAUUGCAAGUGACAUAAUGCAAUGUCUUAUAGUUCAAAUGAAUGCAAAGUGUUUAGACAACAGCUGCAAUCGGCUAUAGAGUCUGGAAGGAUUCAGUUUGAUAGCUCCAAAGCUAAGCCGAUGAAGAUUGAUCAGCACCCUUUCCCCACAAAUAUGCUGGAUGCUAAGGGUAAGACCAAAGUUUUAACUUUAGAAGCAGCUGAGAAGAGCGCUUCGGUAGAUCCUCAGCACCAGAUCACUGCCGAUGACGCCAAGGGCAAGGGCUUGAUCCAAGAAGGCACCAGUUCUGGAAGACCUCCUCGAUCUGGCAUUGUGAUUACUCAUAGGCGGCAUCGAGAAACAUGGCAACAACGUGAGGAUCAGUAUCGUCACCAGGAGGAAGAUCGUCGCCGGGAAGAGGAAAGACGCCGACAAGAGUGAAAUCGGCAUAAAGAUCAUUGGAAUUGCCCAUUCUUCAUCCACUGUUGGGAGCAAAACAUCAAGCUACCAACUGCUAGAGACUGCCCCAAGUGCAAUGGUUAUAAUCGGCAUGAUAGACCGAAUCGGCGAUAUUAAGACGAUGAUCGGCGUUUUAAUGGGCCGAUUAGAGGAUGGACGUCAGUUCACGAUCGGUUGGGGGGCAGGCUCAGUGUGCAUGACAUACUUGGGGAACGUGUUGGUUAUUUCCCAAGAAACCAAGAGGAACAUGAAGAGAUGGCAAAUGCACGGGUCCCUGAUGAGUUUAUAUUUUGCAGCGAGAGCGACAAGAAGAACUGAGUGGGGAAGAAAAUUCUUCCAAGUCUGAAAAUCGGUAGCAGUCAGACCCCAAGGGAAAAGGCCCAUCGGCAGAAGUUAAUAUGGUGUUUAUGUUGCCGAUGGAGUUUCUAGCACCUAUCAGUGGUGAUGAGGAGGUAGAUUUCCCUGAUCAGAUAGCUCAGUUAGCUCUUGACCUAAUGACGGCUAUCUUUGAAAAGCUCGCUGACGACGAAGUAAAACAUCUUAAAGCUUUAUUUGUCAAAGGUAGGGUUGAUGGGCAACCGAUGACCAAGAUACUUAUUAUUGGAGGAGCUGCUAUCAACAUUAUGCCAUAUGCAGUCUAUCAAAAGCUUGGCAAAGGGGAUCAGGAUUUGACCAAGACCGAUAUGAUGUUGAAAGAUUUUGAAGGAAAUGUGUCUCCAGUCAAGGGAGCCAUAUGCGUUGAAUUGACCAUCGGCAGCAAGACCUUGCCGACAACUUUCUUUAUCAUCAGUGGAAAGGGUGCCUAUAAUUUGCUGUUGGGGAGAGAUUGGAUUCAUGCCAACUGCUGCAUUCCAUCUACAAUGCACCAGUGCUUGGUUCAGUGGGUAGGUGACAAUAUUUAAAUUGUCUCAGGAGAUUCUUCAUAUGUCAUUGCAUCGGCAGAAUCAGAUACUUAUGAGAGGACCAGAUGUAUUUCAGGAGAAAUUUGAGAGAAGGAUUUUCUCAAAGUUGUCGAUUAUGAAAUUCCACUGAUCCAAGCAGUCGGUUCUGAUGAAGGGUUUUAAUGGAUAGGUUCGCCGAUGACGAAAAAUUAGGUUAGGGGUUUACAUCGGCCGAUGAUUUAGUAGAGGUAGAUAUAGGUAAUGGUGAUAGGCCAAGGCCUACUUUUAUUAGUGUUAAGUUAGAUUCUGAGUGUAAGCAACAAUUAAUUGAUUUGUUAAAGUAAUAUAAAGAUUGCUUUGCUUGGGAUUAUAUCGAGAUGCCUGGUUUAGACCGAUCGAUCGUCGAACAUCGGUUGCCUAUCAAGUCUGGAUUUCGGCCACAUCAGCAGCCAGCACGCCGAUGCAAUCCUAAUAUUCUUCCUGAUAUUAAGGCGAAAAUAACUAAACUUAUUGAAGCUAAAUUUAUUCGGCAAUGUCGGUAUGCCGAAUGGAUUUCCAAUGUUGUCGCCGUUUACAAGAAGAAUGGGGAACUUCGUGUCUGCAUUGACUUUAGGAACCUCAAUAAGGCUACGCCGAUGGAUGGUUAUCCAAUGUCGGUUACCGAUUUAUUGGUUGAUGCUGUAGCUGGACAUCGGAUCAUUAGCUUUAUGGAUGGCAAUGUAGGAUACAAUCAAAUAUUCAUGGCUGAGGAGGAUAUUCCCAAGACUGCAUUUAGAUGUCCUGGUCAUGUUGGACUGUUUGAAUGGAUAGUCAUGACCUUUGGCUUAAAGAAUGCUGGUGCUACUUAUCAGAGGGCUAUGAAUUUUAUCUUUCAUAAGUUCAUCGGCAAGCUGGUGGAAAUCUAUAUUGAUGACGUAGUGGUUAAGUCUAGAGAUUUCACAAAGCAUCUAGUUGAUCUGCGAAAGGUGUUGGAGUGCACAAGGAAGCAUGGUUUGAAGAUGAAUCCUAAUAAAUGUGCAUUUGGUGUAUCGGCAGGGCAAUUUCUUGGUUUCAUGGUGCAUCAAAGAGGGAUUGAAAUUAGUAGGAGGUCUAUUGAUGUCAUCAACAAGAUAAUUGCUCCCACCAAUAAAACUAAACUUCAAUCAUUGAUCGGCAAGAUAAAUUUCAUCAGACAAUUUAUAUCUAAUUUGUGUGGUAAGAUUCGUGCUUUUAGUCCUUUACUUAAGUUAAAAGCCGAUCAAGAAUUUGUGUGGGGGAAAGAGCAACAGUUAGCAUUGGAUGAGAUCAAGAAUUAUUUGACAAGUCCUCCAGUUUUGAUUCCACCUCAACAAGGAAAGCCUUUUAGAUUAUAUUUGUCUACCGAUGGGAUGGUCAUCGGUUCAGCUUUGAUUCAAGAAUUUGAAGGGAAGGAGCGUGUGAUUUAUUAUCUAAGUAGAAGAUUGGUGGAUGCGAAAACAAGGUAUUCGACAAUUGAAAAACUAUGCUUAUGCUUAUACUUUUCAUGCAUCAAAUUGAGACACUAUUUGUUAUCGGCCGAGUGCACUAUUAUAUGCAAAGAUGAUGUGGUCCGAUAUAUGUUAUCGAUGCCGAUUAUGAAUGGUAGAAUCGGCAAAUGGAUAUUGACAUUAUCGGAAUUUGAUCUACGUUACGAAUCGGCUAAAGCAGUUAAAGGACAGAUUAUGGCCGAUUUUGUGACUCAGCACUGUGGUGUAGUGAAUGCCUUGGAAAAUGUUCCUUGGAUGCUCUUCUUUGAUGGAUCUACAUGUGACCGAGGGCCAAGAGUCGGUAUAAUGUUAAUUUCUCCUCGAGGAAAAAAGUAUGAGUUUUCUUUGCCGAUUAUUGCUACAUCAACAAAUAAUCAAGCUGAAUACCAAGCUUUGAUCAAAGGGUUGGAACUGUUAAAGGAGGUUCAUGCCGAUGCUAUUGAAGUCUUUGGUGAUUCUAUGCUCGUUAUAAAUCAGUUGGCUGGAAUUUAUGAAUGCCAAAGUGAGGUUUUGAUAACCUACUAUGAAAGGUGCAUACAACUGUUAAGGGAAUUCAAGGAUUUCGGGUUAGAGCAUAUUCCUCGGUUGCAUAUUGAAGAAGCCAACCGAUUGGCGCAACACGCCUCGGGGUAUCAACCCAUCUUGAAUAUAUUAUCGGCAGUCGGUGCCGAUGAUUGGAGAAAAGAAAUUAUUAAUUAUUUAAAUGAUCCAUCCAAGAAAGCUUAGAGGCGUGUUAGGUUUCAAGCCACGAAGUAUGUACUCCUUGAAGAAGUGUUGUAUUAUCGGACGAUAGAUGGAGUUUUGCUUAAAUGUUUGGGCGAUGAUGAAGCUAGAAGCUUGAUGGGUGAAAUUCAUGAAGGAGUGUGUAGAGCACAUCAAUGGGCUUUCAAGAUGAAGUGGAUGAUUAGGAGAAACGGGUAUUAUUGGCCAACUAUACUUGAAGAUUGCUUUAAAUACUACAAAGGAUGUCAAGGAUGUCAGAAGUUUGGCAAUAUUCAAAGGGCACCUGCAUCGGCUAUGAAUCCCAUUAUUAAACCUUGGUCGUUCCGAGAUUGGGCCAUUGAUCUCAUCGGCCAGAUUUAUCCGCCGUCAAGCAAGGGGCAUAAGUUUAUCUUAGUUGCCACUGAUUAUUUCACUAAAUGGGUUAAAGCUAUUCCUUUGAAGAAAGUGACAUCGGCCAACAUGAUUGAUUUUGUGAAAGAACACAUUGUUUACCGAUUUGGCAUUCCUCAAACAAUCACUACCGAUCAGGGUACCAUGUUUACAUCAGGAGAGUUUGAUGAGUUUGCAAUUGGUAUGGGGAUUAAAGUGUUGAAUUCUUCUCCUUACUAUGCUCAAGCUAAUGGACAGGCCGAGGCUUCUAACAAAGGGAUUAUUAAGCUUAUUAAGCAGAAAGUUGAAGAAAAUCCAAGAAGGUGGCACACAUUGUUAAAUGAAGCUUUGUGGUCAUAUCAGAUGGCGUGUCACGGGUCAACCAAAGUAUCACCCUACCAGUAGGUGUAUGGACACGAUGCGGUGUUACCAUGGGAAAUUAAAACUGGAUCUGGGCGGAUGUCUUUCCAAGAUUAAUUAACUGCCGAUGACUAUGCUACUUUGAUGAAAGAUGAGUUGGCUGAUUUGGCAGAGCAUCAGAGCUUUGAUAUGUAUAGAAGAAAAUAAAAAGAGGGUUGCCAAAUGGUAUGAUAAAAAGGUGAAAGUCAAAGAGUUUGCUGAUGGGGAUUUGGUAUGGAAAUUAAUUCUACCGAUUAGGACUAAAAGUUCAUAAUUUGGAAAAUGGUCUCCUAAUUGUGAAGGUCCUUAUUGGAUAAGUUGGUCUGCUCCAAGCAAUGCUUAUAUUUUAGAAACUCUCAAAGGAGUUGAAUGGAAAAUAUUUGAAGAAGUAUUACCCAAGUAUCUGGAUUGAUGCCUGAAAGUUUAAAUGCCGAUAACACUCCUAUCGGCUGGAUGAACUGUGUCUGGGAUCAUGCAUAAUGUUUAGGUGCCGAUAACAGUCCUAUCGGCUGGACCAAAAUGAUUAAAGGUUUUCUAAGGGCAGAAUUGAACAAGUUGCCGAUGAAGAGUUCACAGGUUCAGCAGAGCUUGGAUAGUAGAUAUGGCGCGCAAACGGAUCUGAUUGGCAACUUCUAUCUCUCGAAUGUCUUCGUCGGCUGAACCCUCUGUCGGCUUGAACUUCUUCUUCAUUUGCAGUGCGUUGCGAGCUUGGAUGUUUCUUUCUUGCUGAAGAGUUCAGGCAGCUGGCUUUCUUCUUGCUGGGCUUGGGUUAGGGCCUCUUCUACCUGUUUUAGUUCAGCUAGUAGGGCUUCUCUUCUUGCCGAUAGAUCGAAAAUCUUCUGCUUUAGCUCAUCCCCUGAGGACUGCAAAAAUACCGAUACUCUUGUGUUUUUCAUCGGCAGCGCGCUUUACUUGCAUCACUUCUUCUGUGAGCCGGGCGUGAGCAGCUCUAUCGGCAAGACGCUGAGUGGCUUUCUGAUAUUGGAGCUGGCGGCUUUCUAAGUGUGCAGCUUGGAAAAGGACUUCUUCUGCAUCGGCUGGGAUCUGACCACGAAGAGUCUUGAAUAAAGCUUUGGCUGGAUCAGAAUCAUCUACUAGCUAGGAUGUAUCUUGAUGGAGCAGAGCCAACAAGUCUUCCAGCUUAGCUUUAAUCUCUAUCGAUGAGACUCCUACUGCCUAAGAAGAACUUGCUUCUUCACCCUCGUCAUCGGAAAUGUCGAUGGCAAAGGAGAAUAGGCUGUCUGGAGAAUCUUGUUCCCAAAAAGGGAAUGAAGAUAAGUUAUUUGAUGAUCAGGUAUUAAUAAUAUAAAGGCUAGAGAUAACAUAACUUACUUGCUUCAGAGCGGUUUUGUGCCUGUGACGUGGAGAUGCCGCCGUUAUUAUGGGUUGAUCCGCUGAAGUUGUCGAUGGAAUAACUUCAACUGAGAAAUUACAAGGAUGAUUAUAAUUUACAAAAAUAAAAUUCAUCGAUGAUAAUUCUAUGAUCAAAUACUUUACCUUGAGGAGGUAUGGUGAUUGGUUGUUCUGGAGGGAUGGCCGAUGACGUGCCCAGAUCGGCCGGGUCGGCAACCUGUUCAGAGACAUCGGCUGGUGCUUCUAGCUGGGAUACUUGUUGGGGAGGAGAAGGUACUUCUUGUGUCUGGGCUUCCGGUGAAUAAGGGGAUGAUUCUACAUGGAUCGGCGAUACUAGAAGAGGAGGAGAAGAUGGUGCUGUCCUCUAGCACUUUGGUUGCGACUUGGUGCUUUUGGAGCCUUUUCUCUUAGCUUGGCUGGGCUGGGGGGCAUCGGCACUUGUUUGAGUGCUUCUGGUCUUAGCCAAUUUGCUAGUUUGCUGUUGCAACAACCAAAGUUUCAUGAGUAAAAUCAUAAAAGAAUAUUGAUAAAAUUUUGUUGGAAGAUAAAAUUCUCGAUGAAAGUUUUACCUUGAAAGCCUGUGCCAAGGUAGCAGCGGCUACUGAUGGGGAUGCUUUUGACCUCUUGGUGGUCGUCUUCUUGAAGCGCACGUUGCGGUGCGUUAGAGCCGCUAGACUUGGUGCGUGGUGGCCGAUCAAAGAAAUCGGGCCUGAUUGAAGAAGAUCGAUCGGCUUCCCACUCCUGCUGAUUGUUGGCGCUGGAUUAUCAACCUGUUGAAAUAAAUAGAAAACAAAUAUGUUGCCGAUAGGAUCAGAAAUAAUGGAAGGAACAAAGUGUCAGUAAAAGACUUAUAAUGUCAUCGGGAACUUUGUAGUCGGGGUCGAUCAUGCCGCGGUAUGUGUGGGCCAAUGCGCUGAACAGGUGCUCCUUCCACUCCUCCCACCAUUGUUUAUACAGCUGAGUAACAAAAAGAGCUGGGACCCAUGCCGAUAGAUCGAUGUCUGGCGUAUCGGCAUUUGGCUGAAGCUGAGCUAUCCUUAUCCACUCAUGCCCACUGGUAAUUAUCUCUCUUGGCUUCACCACAUCUGCAUAACAGAGUCUGAUCGGUAGUUGGCCAAAAGCUAGUUGGUGAGCUAGUGCCAAAGGUGUUCACUGGGAUAGCCCUCGGAGUGAUGAUUGCCAUCAUUAAGUCAUUAUCCUUAUUGAGAGCAGCAUCAAAAGUGUGGAAGAUGAGCGGGAAUCUAGUCUCUAGAUCUUCGUAGGGCAUCCAUGCUCGUUGUUCUUUGGUAAGGCCGUCAUAUAAGGUUUGGAAGAAUCAGCCAAUUUGGUUUUCGUUGCAGCUGGUACCAGGCAGAACUAUGGUAGCCUCGCCAUAAUUGAUGGGCGGGCGAGUUGCCGAUUCAUCAUUAGCUAGGUUAUAAUCUUCGGCAAUGUCUCUGCGGAAUCGCUGUGCAAAGAGAUUGAACCGAAGGUGUUUGUGCAUAUGAACAUUAAGCCACAUGUUGAUAAACCACCAGGGGCCUCCUAGGUUGCCGAUGGGUUCACCUAACAGAAGCUUCUCAGUCACUUGGUGGAGGAGGUGAUAGGUAGCACCGAGGAAGUAUCGGCCAAGGGGAAAUUGGCCACCAUUUCUAGCCUUUCUAUUGCCGAUAAGUAGAUAGAGGUUGGUUUUUACCGAUCGGCCAUAGAAGAGGAACUUGUCUAGCCACAUGUUCAGGAAAGUGGCGUGUUCCCUUUGCCCAACUGGUCCUGUCCUCCGGUACUUCUGGAUAUAUCCUGACCAACCGCCGAUAUUGCGGGUUUCUACCUUGCGUUCAGCUUUACGGUCGUACAGAUGGCUAUCAUCGGUAGAUGCAAUAUCUAAGCCAGUGAGCAUGAGCACAUCAGCAAGAGUGGGAGAAGCAGGUCCAUGACCGAACAGGAAAGCAUUGAGGGUAUCUGACCAGAAGUAUGAAGCAGCUAUUAGUAGUGAUUCAUUUCUAUCCAUAUCGGCAAUGGAUAGCCUGUUACACUGAUCUAGUUUGUGUUCACCCCAUUGUACUUCGUUCGAGUUGCUGACUCUCAAGAACCAGUCCUUCUAUCCCUUGGUGGAACUUGGCCAGGAUCGGAAGGUAUCUUUCCACAGAUCUAAUGAAAAAUUUUUGGCCCUAAAGGGUAUUCUAUUGGUUUCUGCAAUGAUCAAGUAAGUGGGAUCUGGGUCACCCAAUGGACCAAGGCAUUGAAGAUGAGGUUGCUCGGUGGGGAUGACAAUUUUUUCGCUCAAUUCCUAAAGGGUUUGGAGAUUGGAAGAACAGAGAAAGAAAGAAAAUGCUAGUAAGUAAACUUGCAAAAAGGUAAAAGUACGGCAGAGAGAGGAAAGAUGGGAAUAGAUAAACCUCAGUGACGAUGAAGUUGACGGCCAUUUCUUCCUGAAAGAAAUGAAGAUCGGAGGCUUGAAGAACUGUUGGGAAAGAUUUUGUUGGAGUUCUUGGGCUCUUCAACAAUGCCGCCGCCAGAGGAGAUGGGUUUGGAGGAUGCAGGAUGACGAGGUGGAGAAAGAGUACCGAAGAAGGAAGUAUUUAUAGGAUAAAGUGAGCAGGGGCAUUUCUGACUUAUCUCUUUGUUGUAGCCGUGAAAUUCGAGAGUGUGCAGUUGGAUAUGGUAACUGUUCGCACGGUAAUCAAGGGAUUGUGCAAGUGAUUUGACAGCAAGCGGUCAUGAUUUUAGGAGAUAUUUUACUGUGCGAGAUCUCCUGGUCGGCUCAUCGGCAAUCCACUCUAACGGAAAAGUUGUCGAUGAGCGGCUGUUUAGGAGAUUUGGUCCGAGAAGUUGAGAGAUUCAAGGAGCAUGCUGGAGAUCUAGGUUAAGGUUGUUCAGAUUUGGCAAUUAAUUGCUGUUAGAAGGAAAUAAUUGUGAAAAGGGCGUCAUUAUUAGGAGAGAAUUUUGGAGCAUUAAUGAUUUCAUACUCCGAAAUUGGGGGGCAUGUGUUGACACAGUUUUUGGACACGCAUCUGAGAAAUUAAUGGAGUACGGAUCGGUAGGCGGAAAAGUAAUGACUCACUGUGAGAAGAGUUACCGAAGGGUUAUGAUGCCGAUGAUAAAGCAGCAGGAUGUGACCAAGUCCAGGGAUGAUGAUGGAUCUAUGCCGAUGGCCGAUGUUGAUGGUUGCCGAUGCCGAUGGAGGGUGAUUUGCCGAUGAUAGUAGAGGAAGGCGCAGGAACUGUCAAUAGGAUGGUGACGGUGUGCCGAUCGCCUAUGGUGGAUAGAUUAAUGUUUUCCAUAGUUAUUAGAGUUUGUUUUACAUACGGAUUCCGUUUGAUUUAGAAUUAGAGUGCUAGUCGUGUCUGAUUAUAACUCUUUUAGACAGGGUAUAAAUGUAGACCCCGUAGCAAUGUAAGAGACAUACACAAUCAAUCAAACACAAGUUUUUACAUCUAUUUCAGCAUCUACUUUUUGACGACUUCGUCAACUUGCAUAUUUUUCUUUUACUUACGAGUUCUUAAGGAUUCAUCGAGUCAAACUCGGCGAGUUCUCAAGUUCCGCGUGAAUACCUCUUGGCCGUGGCAUCCGGGCGUAUCGCUGUUGUCGGAACCGAAGUAUUCGAGUUAUCACCUUUGUCGAUUGUAAGGUCAAAUCGGCUGGCACGACUUAACAUCGAAUCGGAUAUUAGCCUAUUGUGUUUGCAGAUCCACUUUUGCAUCAACAAAUAUGUAGACGUGGUGUCUACAUAUCUUGUUUAUUUAUGAGCGCACCCUGACGUGCUGGGACGUGUGGUAGACCGUGUAGGUGACAGCUGCGUUGUAUCCUCUGUAGUCCACCCUCCAUACAUAGGACAAGUAUGGCAUGGUCGCGAAGGAGGUGACCCUUAUGUCUUAAUAUCCACAUUAGUUGAUGCCUCUUUACAUGUAAUUAUGAUAUAGGGUUGACUUAACGAUGAUUUCUAGAUGUAAUUGCACUAAUUAGAGUUAUUCAUUGGUGUAGUUAUAGCAUUACCUUAGAUUCAACUCCCUAAUUUACCCAUUGGCUAACUAUGAUUAUGACUAGUAGAUGCUCUGAUGAUUAUCCUUAAUUAAGAUACUUGAUGAUUAUGCUAUCACUAUUAUUUAUCUAUGUUUAUCUUGUGACCUCUGUCUGUUAUAAGUAGAUUAUAUGACUUGGGUAAUAUCAUUUAUUCAUCCUAUAUAGUUUCUUAUCAAUAUAAUAAAUUAUAGUUUAACACUUAGCCUUCUCAGUUGUAUAAAUAUAAAUCGACAACUUGGAUACUUCCCUAGGUAAAAUGCUAUAACGGUAUAAUUAUGUGUCCGCUUGCAGAACCCAUUUAGUUUAUAAUUAUAUUUAUAUCUUUUAUUCUGUCUAGUUGUAGUAGAACAUGUGAAUCUAUAUUAAAUUUGUAGCAAUGUAAUUAGGGAUGACAACUGUCGAUGAAAGCUAGUCAGCAGUUUACCUUGGGGUAUACCACGGCAGUAGUUUAUCGGUAGACGGUGCGCAAGCUACGAACUCGAUGGUAACGCAAGACACGGACAAGGCUUUUAUCCAGGUUCGGCCGCCGUGUGGGCGUAAUACCUACGUCCUGCGUCUGGUUGUAUUGAAUUGUGUUGAGAUAAUCCGUCCUAGGAGGGUUCCUUGCCUCUCCUUAUAUAGUCCAGAGGGCAGGGUUACAGAUCUGGAAACUAAUCCUAGUCGGUUACAAUUGUCAUAGAUAGUAGAUAUCAAUUCCUAUUCUAACCGACUAGAAUCCUGCUUGAUCUCCACGUCUUGUUUCCUUGCGUGAAACUCCGAGCAGUUAGAUCAAGCCUCGAACUGUCUCAUGAAUGACCAAGUCUCUUGGUCCAAGUCUAGCCGUAAGGGUAUAGGAGUUUAUACCCUCACAACUAGUCCCCGAGCACCAUGUAUUGUGAUGUAACACGCCGUCUUGAGCUUCUCCGACCAGUAAGGCUUGACGUCUUCAUUAAGCACAAAAAUUACCCAAACAGUUGCAACGGUAUUUUAACCAAUUCAAAAGACAGUUGAUCAACAUUGACAUCGAAGAAGCAGGUUGUUCGAAGAAUGCAUGGUGCUCUUAAUUAAAAAAAUUCUUUUUUGGUGAAGUUUGCCCACUUUACUUUUCUGAAAAGCACAGAUUUUCAAAAACCAAGCAUAUUCACCGCAAGGUGAAGUGUGCCCACUUAGUCUCCGAGCCUGGUAGUAGGUAACGUAGGUACGUGGUGCCAGGGUCUAAAGAGAAAAACCACAUAGAAAAUCCGAUACUGAAAUGCAUCACCAGAUGCAUCGUACCGAUGUAGUCCCCGAGCUUGCUGAAAGGCGAAGUAGGAGCCUUGUAGCAAGGUCUAAAAAAUUAAAAUUAUCCAGUCCAAUUCAUAUGUAAUUGAAAAAAUCAGUUCCCUAGCUAUGGUCGGAGAGUAAUCGAAGCAAGCCCCAAGAACAUCGCAGUGAUUGAUGAGUCCCCGAGCACGGUUGGGAAUGUAAUCGUGCUUGGUGGUCAGCACAAUCUCCGAGCACGGCAUAGAGACUGGUCGACCAGUCCCCGAGCAUGGUUGGGAACGUAAACGUGCUUGGUGGUCGGCACAGUUCCUGAGCACGGCGUAGGGACUGGUGGACAAGUCCCCGAGCGUGGUUAGGAACGUAAACGCGCUCGGUGGUCAGCACAGUCUUCGAACACAGCGUAGAGACUAGUCGACAAGUCCCUGAGUGUGGUUGGGAACGUAAACAUGCUCGGUGGUCCGAGCAGUCCCCGAGCAAAGUGUAUGGAAUAGUCAACGAGUCUCCGAGCGUAGCUUGUUGACCGGGCCAAACUCCUGAAAAAUAAAUAUAGAGAAUAGGUAGUACAUGAUGUAUAAAUAAACUGUAGAUAAAAAUCAGCACUGAGAUAAGUUUUAGAUUUUUUUUUAUAAAAUUAGCACGAGUAAUUAAUUCAUCCUAUAGCUUGUGCCAGCUCUGGUCUAGCCAACAAUCAGCAUGAGGUGCGGAACCUAGGCAUGCGUAAGAUUGUCAGCCUCGCCAGAAAGCUACUGCCGACCACCCGGAAAGCAGAUGGCGGAUCUUAUGCACGUGUAGGGAGUCGGAGACAGUGCCGGCUCUGAAAAACUUGUGUAGGAGAAAAAACUAGUCGGCUAACCAAAAAGUUGUUUUGAAGGAUAAUAAUAUUAAAAUUAUUAUGCCAAAAAUAAAUACAAUAUUAACAGUGCACUUAUCUUUGGACGAAAGUCUGGUCGGUGGCGACAAAAUUAUCUGACCCUCAAGCUUUUUGACAUGUCAUCAUGACGGUGUUCGCAGUUGUCAUAGUGCCGUUCUUUGCGGCAAUCAUCAUUGCGACGCGGCGGUAGCACGUUGCCCGAGCAGCUCGCUAGCCAGCUCGGAGGAUCGUUUGGGAGCUCGAAUGGAGCUUGACGAUUUGCAUGAAAGUUCGGACAGAUCGAUAUGGCUCGUCUUACGGCUCGUAAGAUGGUCCAGCAACUCGCUGGAUGGCCCGACACAUGUAUUCUCAGGAAGAGACGCCAAUUCCCUGUAUGGCAAGGGUGUCCAGAUAUCGAGCCGCUGCCGAUCAUGUCGAUGAAGAAAUUUGCUGCAGUUGGAAGCUGCAACGAGUAGUUGCCACCGGAUGACGAACCUUUGCUCGAGUAAUUGGGCAGUGUUAUCUCGAAUUGGAGAGGUAGAGGUGCACCAACAAAUUUAUACGUGCGUCAGAUCUUGGUGGCUUGCUUGAUUAGCUUUUCGGUAAGUAUGCUCGUUGUUCCCGUAUUCAAGAUAGAUAAAGCCCUUGAUGCACAAGUAUAUCCCUUUAUUAGAUAUCUUGAUUACUUUAUUUUUCCUCAAUAGUUGGCAUCGCGGGUGGCGUGAGGCUCUGGGACAUCACCUCUGACGACUCCGAUCAGGAAUCCCUUGGCUGAACUCCUGCACGUGGCAAAUCGGUCUGGAAAUGAUGACUCCGAUCAGGAAGGCAGAGUUCUCCCUUGGCCGAACUCCAGUACGUGGCACUCGGUGAGACUACCGCCGGAGCUGUUGUGGUCGACGCUGAUAAAGAGAAUUUUUCCAUCUGGUUCACAUGGGAAGCUGCACGCACACCCCGUACCUAGCGCGCCACUGUCGACGAAAGGUAGUCGGCAGUCUACCUUGGGGUAUACCCACGGUAGUAGUUUUUCGGUAAACGGUGCACAAGCUACGAACUCGAUGGUAACGCAAGACACGGAUAAGGUUUUUAUCCAGGUUCGGCCGCCGUGUGGGUGUAAUACCUACGUCCUGCGUCUGGUUGUAUUGAAUUGUGUUGAGAUAAUCCGUCCUAGGGGGGUCCCUUGCCUCUCCUUAUAUAGUCCAGAGGGUAGGGUUAUAGAUCUGGAAACUAAUCCUAGUCGGUUACAAUUGCCAUAGAUAGUACGAUAUCAAUUCCUAUUCUAAGCGACUAGAAUCCUACUUGAUCUCCACGUCUUGUUUCCUUGUGUGAAACUCCGAGCAGUUAGAUCAAGCCUCGAACUGUCUCAUGAUGGUCCAAGUCUAGCCGUAAGGGUAUAGGGGUUUAUACCCCCACAACAACCUACUUCAUGCUUAGAAUAUUAGAGUGGUUAGUUGCUAUUUGAAAAGUUAAUUAUUUACUGUGCAUUUCUGGUGUUGUAGCUAGAAAUACAGUUUAUCUCUAUUUUUAGUGAUGACGGUAGUAAAUGUCAACAACAUCUUAUUUGUUUUCUUAUUUCUAUCAGUCAAAAGCAGAAGGCUUCCCCAACUGGGCUAGCACCCUGGAAGGCAAUUAAAGUAGGGCAUCAUAGACACCCGGGUCGGUAAAGCCAAAGUUCCCACCUCCUAUGGGUCAUACCGAGGGGGGCCAGACCUAGAGAGAGCAGGAGGCGCGAGAGGAGACGCCGGAGCCCCAAGUGGUAAGGGAUGAGAUCCCUGAGGCCGAGGGGCCCGAGUCUCAUCCCACCGUGGGGAUGGCCCUAGCCCUGCAGGCUGUGGAUUCGACGGUGGAUGACGAUCUGGGUGGGGCCAAGGAACUCGUCUAGUCUGUUCUCAUGCCUAACCCAGUGGCGCUCGAGACAGAGAAGGUCACAGUGGACCUAGUCGAAGAGACGCCUGAGGGGAGUCCCUUAGAGAAGCCACAUAGGAAGGGGCCAGUCGCGCCGACGACAGGUCAUGGUGGGAGUCCCCGAUGAUCUGGCCUAACCUUGAUGACCCAGAGGCCAAGGCUAUAUUCAUCCUUGAUGACCCAACUGAGCUCUACUUCUAGCAUGGCAUGCGUGAGACGAGCCGCACCACCAUGAAUGCCCUCAACUAGGUGGCGGAGCUCAUAGACCAUGAUCUUUUCAAGUUUGCCGAGGUAUAGAAGUCUAAUCUCUUUGGGUAAAUUCUACUCUUUUUUAUCAUCUUUCAUCUCUUAAUCUUGCACUCUUGCUUCUUUCUUCAAGAGCUAAUGACCAUGUCCUGCAAGAGAUCAGAAUUUCUCCAACAGGAGCGGGGCACGUGGAUUGCCUUAGGUGUAGAGAGGACCGCCCGAAUACUUCCCGAGGAGAGGCUCUCCAAGAAAUGUGACGAGGCCGCUGAUCUCCACCGCCAAUGCACCGAGCUCGAGUCCGAGGCUCGGGAGGACCGGGAGAGGGUCACCCCUUUAGAGAAAAAGAUAGAUAACCUCAGGGAGGCCCACGUCUGUGAAUCCUAGGAGCGGAGCGCUGUUGUCGAGCAGUACUAGCAAGAGCUGAUCUGGGUGGAGACGCUGCUAACUCAGUGGUACUUGGCGCUAGACUUGGCAAGGAGAGACCUUUUCGAGGCCCGGGAGCAUACCUCCUGGUGGCAGACUUGUGUAGAGACCCGAGAGAAGGAGAUCGAGGGUAAUGUUAGUCUUACCUCGAUUUUUUUCUGGCUAGAGCAGGGUCCCAACUUUGUGCCUUAUUUUUAUCGCAGACUUGGAGGGGAAGGUGGCCGAGGGGGUCUCAAUAGCUUAGGCUUUGUGGAAGACCUUGGAUGCUAAGGCCUUCGAGCACUCCACGCUUCGAACCAUUGUGACCUCGGUCUACGAUGCGCUCGGGGCCAGGAAUAGCCGACCGGGGAGCUCUCUUCACGGGCGUGUAGAGGCCCUCUACACUCGAGUCGGCGAGAGGCUAAAGGACACCCUCCCCAUUGGGAUGAAGAGGACUCAAGUGGUGGUGAGUUCUCACUACCUCAGCAUCGAUCUGCCAGUGGUCAGUGAGGGCUACGUCGUCGGCGACGAUGAGGACGAAGCCCGGGAGGAGGUCCGGAAGCUCACCGACACCAAAUGUUGAACCCACCAGGCCCUGGGGAAGCAGGGCAAUAGAGCCCUUGUAAUAGUUUAGGAACUUGUUUGUUCAAACUUGGUAGCCUGCAAGGCCUUUCUCAUAGACUUAACCUAUGUAUAUAUAUAAGCACUUGUUCUUGCUAUGUCUUGUGUCUAUUUUAUUUUGAAUACUCUAGGCUCAACAAUGCGAGCCAGGGUCAGUCACAAAGGUUAAGAAAUUUUAAUCUUUGAUUGGGGCGUUCCGAGCCUUAACCUUUCCUCGUUCCUUAAUGUUUUGAGUCCCUGCGGGACUUCCCAAGAUCCGAGUGGAUCAUUCGUUUGGUCUUAAGGGGGAUAAGCAAAAAAGGUCUUAGCCCAUGGGUGUGGACAGUUUCAGCCUCGUCCAAUCUUGAGUCCCUCUGAAUGAUUUUUGGUUUUUAGGUUUUCAAAAUGGGGAAAGAGGCUUGGCUCGGAAGGUUCCGACUAAUGAAAAAUUUUGAAAAAAUGGGGAGGGGUCCCCCAUGUAGCCCCCAAGGGAGGCUCAGUAUCUGCAUGGGCAGAGCUGAGACUCGCUAUUGAGCCGGUUAAAGAGUUGUACUGUAUAGAGCUUAUUUCUUUAUGUCCUUCUCAGAAAAGAUAGUAAGUACAAAGCUCUUUUAUAAAACUAAGGGUAGAAGCAACGUAGCUGCUCUAUGUUCCAGGCAUUGGCGUAGACUUCUCCCUCUUUGUUGGCGAGCUUGUAGGUUCCUGGUCGGAGUACUUCGGCGAUGACGAAUGGUCCUUCCCAUGGAGGAGUGAGCUUGUGGCGGCCCUUGUUGCCCUGUCUGAGCCUUAGCACCAAGUCGCCGACCCUGAAAGCUUGGCCUUGGACUCAUCGGUCAUGGUAGCAUUGGAGAACUUGCUAGUACUUAGCCGAGUGUAGGAGGGCCAUGUCUUGAGCCUCGUCCAGCUGAUCUGGGUCAUCCUCUUGGAAGGUCUUGUAGUUGUUCUCGUCGUAGGCCUGCACUCUUGGGGAUCCAUACUCCAGGUCUAUGGGAAGGAUGGCUUCAGAGCCAUAGACCAUAAAGAAUUGUGUGUAUCCCGUGGCCCAGCUUUGGAAAGUCCUUAGGCUCUAGACGAUGGCAGUGAGCUCUUUGAGGCACCUUUUUCUGAAUUUGUUCAGCCGGUUGAAGAUCCUAGGCUUCAGACCCUAGAGGAUAAUGUUCUUGGCACGUUCCACUUGCUCAUUGGUCUUUGGAUGAGCCACUACUACCCAGUCCACAGUAUGUGGUGUCUAUCAUAGAAGUUCAGGAAUUUUCUUCUAGUGAACUGUGUGCCAUUAUCCAUGAUAAUGGAGUUAGGAACCCCAAAUCGAUGGAUGAUGUCUGUGAAGAAUAGCACAGCCUGCUCGGAUUUGAUUUUGGCGAUAGGGGAACCUCGAUCCACUUGGAAAUUUGUCGAUUGCUACUUGUUGACACCGUUUUUAGGCACAAGUCAGGAUAGUUAGUGAAGCUUGAAUAAGCGGUCAAAGAGGUGAUGUGUCUAGCCAAUAAUGAGAUUGUGGAUAGCCAAUGAUGCCGAUGAGAGGACAACAGGAGGAAGAUGUUACUGAGUCUGGCGGUAGUUGCUGAUUAUUGCCGAUUACUGAUACUAAUGAUUGCCAAUGCCGAUGAGGAAAGGUAUUGGAGUUGUUAAAGAGAUACAGGGCGUGUGCCGAUGAUGAUGAAGGAAGGCGUGGAGAUCGAUAGGAGGACAAUGGUGAUAUGCCGAUCACUGGGAUAGAUAGGUAGUUAUUUUCCAUAUUUGUUAGAGUUUGUUUUAUGUGUGAGUCCUGUUUGGUUUAGAAUUAAAUCCUAGUCAUAUACAGUUGUAACUCUUUAGGACAGAGUAUAAAUAUAGGCCUAGUAGCUAUGUAAGAAGGACAGUCAAUCAAUAUCAUACACAAGUUUUAUAUCUACUAUUGCAUCUAUUUUUUCGACAACUUCGUCAAUCUGCACAUUUUCUUUUCUUUACGAGUUCUUAAGGAUUCAUCGAGCAAUACUCGAUGAAUUUUCAAGUUCCGCGUGAGUACCUCUUGGCCGUGGCAUCCGGGCGCAUCGCUGUUGUCGAGACCAAAGUAUUCGAGUUAUCACAUUUGUCGAUUGUUAGGUCAAAUCGGCUAGCACGCCUCAACAUUUGAAUCGGGUAUUAGCCCUUUGUGUUUGUAGAUCUGUUUUUGCAUCAACACUUCUAGAAAGUGGGCGAAGCCCCUGGACACCUUCUGUAAAGGCCCGACAAGGUCGAGGCCCCAUACAGCGAAGGGUCAUGUGAUGGGGAUCGUUUGCAGCGUGUGAGCGGGGAGGUGGGUGUACCGUCUGUAGAACAAGCAACCCUCACAUGUUUGGAUGAUUUCCGUGGCAUCUACCAUGGCGGUGGGCCAGUAGAAGCCUUGUCAAAAGGCAUUUCCUACAAGCGUCCGAGGGGCUACGUGAUGUCCGCAAGCCCCUGAGUGGAUCUUUCAAAGGAGACCCCUACCCUCUUUGUGGGUGAUGCAUCACAUGAGAAUCCUCGAGGGGCUGUGUUUGUACAUCUCGCCAUCAGGAAGGACAAAAGUCUUAGCCCGGCGGGCUAGCCACUGGGCCUCAGUGGAGUUUUGGAGGAGAGUCUCUUUAACGAGGCAUUGGAGGUACGGGAUGCGCCAAUCCAGCUCAUCAUCGGGCUCGUGCACUACUUGCUCGAUGUCCAUGGCCUCAAGUUUGGGGACUGAGGCCUCAGAGCCGAGGAUGGGUCCAACUGGGGCAUCAUCCGUUCUGUCGUCUUCCUUGUAGUCAUCAGAGGGCUUGUGGAGGUCACUGGUAAAGACGUCUAGGGGGAUCGAGGCCCAUUCAGAUGCCAUUUUCUUGAGUGCGUCGGCGGCCUCAUUGUACUUUCUCAACACAUGUUUAAGCUUGAGGUCGUCAAAAUUUUCCUCUAGGCAUCAGACUGCCUUACAGUAUGCUUCCAUCUAGGGUCUUGGUAGUUCGACUCCUUCAUGACUUGGUCAAUGACCAGCCUUGAGUCACCUCAAACAUCAAGUCGCUUGAUCCCAAGUUCGACUGUGAUGUGGAGCCUGUUGACGAGGGCCUCAUACUCCGCCACAUUGUUUGAGGCUGGGAUGUGGAUCUAGAGGGCGUACUGCUUCCUUACUCCAAGGGUUGAGAUGAAGACAAGGCCUAUGCUAGCCCCGAUCUUUAUCAGUGACACAUCAAAGUACAUGGUCUAGCAUUCUGCCUGAAUCUGAGGCGGAGGGAGCUGGGUUCCAGUCCAUUCAGCCAUGAAGUCCAUUAGGACUUGGGAUUUUAUGGCCUUCCGAGGCUCAUAGGUGAUUCCGUCCCCCAUGAGUUCCACGGCCCACUUAGUGAUUCUUCCAUUGGCUUCCCAGUUUUGGAUCACUUCCCCUAGAGGGAAAGACGAGACCACAGAUACCGGGUGUGACUCAAAGUAGUGGUGAAGCUUGUGCCAAGCCAGGACUAGUGCAUACAGUAGCUUCAGGAUCUACGGGUAAUGGGUCUUGGUAUCAGAGAGUACUUCACAGACAAAGUACACCAGUCUCUAGACCGGCAGGGCAUUCCCUUCUUCCUUCCUUUCGACCACGAUAGCCGCACUGGCCACUUGAUCCAUGGCUAUGACGUAGAGAAGUAGCGGCUCCCCCUUAGCAAGGGGUACUAAGAUGGGGGGUUGGUGAGGAGAGCCUUGAGCUUGUCAAGUGCCUCCUGGGCCUCGGGGGUCCAGGAAAAGUGUUCGGAUUUUUUGAGGAACCUGUACAGAGGUAGCCCUUUUUCCCCGAGGUGAGAAAUGAAGUGGUUGAGGGAUGCAAGACACCCCAUGACCCUCUGUACCCCCUUAAGGUUAUGAAUUCAGCCCAUGCUAGUGAUGGCCGAGACUUUCUCGGGGUUGGCCUCAAUCCCUCGCUUAGAGAUAAUGAAGCCGAGGAGCAUGCUCGGGGAACCCCGAAAACACAUUUUUUUAGAGUUCAGCUUGAUGCUUUUAGCUCUAAGGCAUCGGAAGGUUUCAUCUAGGUUAGCUACAAGGCCGCUAGCUUUUCUAGAUUUGACUACUGUGUCAUCUAUGUAUGCUUCUAUUGUUCGGCCUAUAAGGUCACCGAAGACCUAGAGCAUACAUUGCUGGUAUGUAGCCCCCGCGUUCUUGAGGCAGAAUGGCAUGGUUAUGUAGCAAAAGUGGGUUAUGAAGGAGGUCGCUAGAUGGUUAGAUUUUUUCAUCAUAAUUUGGUGAUAACCAGAGUAUGCAUCAAGAAAUGACAAAGUUUCACAUCCUACAAUAGAGUCAACUAUUUGGUCAAUACGUGGUAAUGGAAAAGGGUUCUUAGGACAUGCUUUAUUUAAACUAGUAUAAUCUACACACAUCCUCCAUUUUCCAUUUUUCUUCUUGACUAGUACAGGAUUAGCUAACCACUCAGGAUGGAAUACCUACUUGAUGAACCCAGCUGCUAGAAGCUUCUGGAUUUCCUCCCCGACAGCCCGGUGCUUCUCCUCAUCGAAUCUGUGUAGGCGUUGCUUCAUGGGCUUGGAGCUGGCUUGAAUGUCAAAGGAGUGCUCAGCGACUUCCCUCGGUAUGCUAGGCAUGUCCAAGGGACUCCACGCAUACACGUCAGCGUUGAUAGUGAGAAAGUUGACGAGCACUGCUUCCUAUUUGGGGUCGAGGCUCGAGCUAAUCCUUAAUGCCCUGCCAUUAGAGGCCUCGGGGUUGAGGAUGAUGAGCUUGGUCUCUUCUACUGGCUUGAUGCUCACGGUGUGACGCUUGGGGUUGGGGACAUCCUGAGCGAACCUGUCAAGAUUGGCGAUCAGGAACUGUGUCUCGACGAUGGCCUUGACCUGCUCGAUGCACUUGAUGUCGCACUGCUAUGCAUGCUGGCUCAUCGUGCUGACGGUGAUGAUGUCAUUGGGGCCCAACAUCUUGAGCUUGAGGUAGGUGUAGUUGGGGGCGGCCAUGAACAUGGCAUAGGAUGGCCUCCCAAGAAUCGCAUGGUAGGUCCCGGGAAAGCCAACUACGUUAAAACUAAGGAUCUCCCUACUAAAGUUGUUGGGAGUCCCGAAGUAGAUGGGCAGGUCAAUCUGCUCGAGGGGGUGGGCCCGGUGCCCAGGGACCACGCAGUGAAAGGGCAAGGCGUCGGCCCAUAGCCGAGACUUAUUGAUCCCCAUGAGGCUCAGGGUCUCGGUGUAGAGGAUGUUGAGGCCACUGCCCCCAUCCAUCAACACCUUGGUGAGGUGGGUCUCGGCAAUGACAGGGUCAACGAUGUGUGGAUAGCUCCAGGGGUAUGGGAUCUGAUGUGGGUGGUCAUUACGGUCAAAGGUGAUGGUGUUCUUUGACCACUUGAGGUAGCGCGGGCGUAGCCAUGUUAACCGUGUAGACCUCCCAGAGCUCGCACUUCCUUUGGCUCGCGGUGAGCUGAGCUGCGCGUCCUCCAAAGAUCAAGAAGCAGUUCUUGACAUUGGGGAAACCGUCCCCCUUGUCAUCGUUGUCCUCGUCCUUGGGUAGCUCCUCUGUGUUCUCCUUGGGAAGGGCACUAGAGUAGAAACGACAUAGGAUGGUGCACUCCUCUAGGGUGUGCUUGGUAGGUCCCUUCUUCUUGGGGUCUCAGAAGCUUGAGGCCUCGGCGGCCACAUCUAUCUGCUUCCCCUUGGCCUUGCCGUUGGAGAAGAUUGCCCCAACGGCCUCUUCUCCAGAGGCAAAGUUGGUCGAGAUGUUGAACAACUAGCUGGUGCUCAUGGGGGUCUUGCGUCCGAGCUCGUGCACCAGCUCUUUGCAGGUGGUGCCGGCGAUGAAUACCCUAAUGACAUCAGAAUCUGUGAUGCUGGGGAGCUCGAUGUAUUGCUUGGAGAAGCAUCAAAUGAAGUCCCUAAGAGAUUCAUCGGGCUUCUGGCGGUAGCUCCUGAGGUCCCAGGAGUUGCCGGGGCGCACAUAUGUGCCCUAGAAGUUCCCGAUGAAGAACUUGACUACGUCGGACCAGUCAUGGAUCAGUCAUCUAGGAAGGUGCUCCAACCAAGCCCUAGCCGAGUCGGCCAGAUGCAAUGGCAAGUUGCAGAUGAUGAGCAAAUCAUCAUCUGCGCCGCCUAAUUGACACGCUAGGCAGAAAUCCACGAGCCAAAGCUCGGGAUUUGUCUCCUUGGAGGUACUUGGCGAGCUUGGCUGGUUGGUGGAACCAGGCAGGAAACUUGGCUCUACAGAUUGCCUCGCUGAAGACGUCAAGAUCAGGAGGCUUGGGCGAGGUGUUGCGAUCGUGCUCGGGGUCAUACCUCCUGCCUUGCCGCGGUCGAUAUCUUCGAGACUCACCUUCUGAAGGGUUGAGAUGGCGGACUAGAGGGGGGGUGAAUAGACCUUUCUAAAACUUAUUGUGUCGGCUAACCGAAACAAAUGCGGAAUUAAAACUAUCGGUCUAGCCAAGACUACACCCCUCUAUCUAAGUUCUCUAGCACCUUGAAAAGAUCCUAAACAAGCAAGCAAGGUGCUACCUUAGCAAGAGCUCACCUAAACAAUUCUAGGAGCAAGGCCACACAAACCUAUGCAACUAGUACUUUGCAAACUGGGGGAGCUCCUACACAAACUAGUAAGCAAAAGCACAAAGCUCCUAAGCUCACUCGCAAGAUCAAUAACAAGGCAACUAAUGCCAAAUUAGAGGGCGUAAGUUACUUAGCUACACAAACUAAGCAAUGUGACUAACAAGGUUACACAAACCAAAUUAGUCAUGCAAGGGAACUACUUCUAGCUACACAAGCAAGAAGGUAACUAGCAAGCUACACAAGCUAACUAAUUACAAGAGCAACAACACAAGCACAAGUAUAUGAAAGUAAGAACAAGCUUGUGUUAGGGAUUUGCAAACCAACGGGAAGAACAAGGUUGACACGAUGAUUUUCUCCCGAGGUUCACUUGGUUGCCACCAAGCUACGUCCCCGUUGUGUCGACCAACACUUGGUGGUUCGGCGGCUAAGAGGUGUUACACGAACCUCGUCCCCACUAGGACACCGCAAGAACCUACCCACAAGUGAGGUAGCUCAACGACACACACGAUCCAAUAGAGUUGCUCUUCGCGAUCCCCGUGGGGUGAGCACCGUACCCCUCACAAUCUCUUCUCCGGAGCACCGCACAAUCUCCUUGCGUGCUUUGACGGAGUAACAAGCCACCAAGCCGUCUAGGAGGUGGCAACCUCCAAGAGUAACAAGCACCACCGGCUUGCAACACGAACACCUAAUGCCACUCGAUGCAAUCUCUCAGUGCAACGCACUAGAAUCACUCACUCGCUAUUGAUUUGCACUCUUGCAAGCACAAGUGAGUUAGAGGCCUUCCUAGCACUCCCCAAGCAUGGACACUAAGUCCCAAGGGUGCUCAGCACUAGCCAAGGCCGGCCACCACUUCUAUUUAUAGCCCCAAGGGCUAUACUAGCCGUUGCCCCUUCACUGGGCAAAACACAUGGGCACCGGACGCUCACAGGGAGCGACCGGACGCUCAACCCUCAGCGUCCGGUGCUCAGGCGUCGGCCACGUGUCACUAGCCGUUUGAACUCGACCGUUGCCGCCAACGGCUACUGCACACACGCGCCUGCACAGCACCACCAGACGCUCUACUGCGUCACACCGGACGUGUCCGGUGCACACCGGACCCAUGCGUAGAGAGCUCAGCAAACUUGCAUGGUCACCGGACGCAAGCGACCGGACGCACCCUGAGCGUCCGGUGCUCACCGGACUCAUGCGCAGAGAGGGUCGCCAAACCGCCCGCACACCGGACGCUGAGCACCGGACUCACUCCGAUGCGUCCGAUGCAAACCUGCGCCACAGACACCACACCGGACGCUCUGGACCAGCGUCCGGUGCUGCCAACACCAGCGUCCGGUGAGUGUUUCCCGUGACUUCUCCAAAUUUCCCACCGGCGCAAUAGAAAAUAUACACUUAAUUUUCUCAAAAGCGCCGACACCACCAAGUGUCCACCACCAAAGUGCAAGUGUGUUAGCAUUUUCACAAACAUUCUCCCAAAGGAGUUAGCCUCCCAAUUUGCCACGCCACUCGAUCCUAACAUGUAUGCAAAGUUAGAUCGCUCAAGUGGCACUAGAUGACCGAUAUGCAAACAAGUUUGCCCCUCUUGAUAGUACGGUCAUCUAUCCUAAAUCCGGUCAUAAACUUCUCUACACACCUAUGACCGGUGAAAUGGAAAUGCCCUAGGUUAUACCUUUGCCUUGCGCUGUCCAUUCCAUCUCCUCCAAUGUUGAUGCAACACAUGCACCAACCAAUCACCAAAUGAUAUGAUCCACUUCAUAUCAUCAUGUGACCGUUAUUGGUUCAUCGAUCUUGACCUCACUUGCUCUUCACCGUUGCCUCGGUCCAUCGGCGCCAAGUCUUGCUCAAGCUUCACCGUCACACGCGGUCCCUCGCUCCAAAGCCUUCGACUUGCCCUUCACUCUUGCAACCGGUCCAUCGAGCUAAGCCUCAUCUUGAUCUUCUCCACCUUGGUCACAUGACUCCAUGUCAUGUCUCAUAUGCAAUGAGCUCCUCCAUCAUCAUAUAAUCACCUGUGGACUAAUCUCUUGUGUAUCUCACAUAAACACUAUUAGUCCACCUAAGUUGUCACUCAAUUACCAAAACCAAACAAGGACAUUUCACCUUCGUCCUUGUCGUGGUGCCAAGCAUCGAAGGUGGCUCAGGUGUCCUCGUUGGUGCCAAUGCACUUGAGUACGGAUUUGGCCUUGUUGCCUCCCUAGGGGUUGGCGGGCUCGGGACCAUGUACCGAGGCCGCCUUCUCUAGGGGAGGCUGGUUCCCAGCCUGCACCGCCCGUGAACCGUGAUGCUAUGAUGCAGAACUUUUGGCGUUCUACACCACGGCAUGCUCUAGGAGUCCUUGGAGCCCCUGGCGCACUCGUCUCCCCUCAGGCAUCGAUGGCUCAGGCAUCGCGCUAAGAAAGAGUGCAGCAGCCAUCACAUUCUGGCUAGCCGUGCUAAAGAGAGGGGAGUCCUCUACCCUGGCAUCCUUAAUGACGCAUCGAUCGACGUCGUGAGCGCAGCGCCGGGCUGCUCCUCCGUCUCCUCGUGUGGAUUGGUCCUGCUCUAGGGUCUCAUGUAGCUGGCACAGGUGCCUACGGUCCUCCUUGAGUUUGUUCUCGAGCUCCUUGAGCUGCUCGAGGUGUUAGGACGUCGAGGCUUUGGAGGGGUGGAUGAGGCUCCCCGCGGUUCAUGAUGACCCGCAGAGACCAUGUCAGGUGGGGGCGUCACGUCCUAGUGCUCCACUAGUCCUACACCGCCUUGACUUGCUAGGGUCACGGUGUUGGCCUCAACAUGGAAGCACUCCUAGGACGGAUCAUAGUCGUCUCCAUCAGAGUCUGAGUAACUAAAGCAAUAGUUACUCACCUCGAGGAAAUAGAGAAGCGUCUUCGGAUCGGCGAGGCCGAAGAAGUUCGAAGCGGCCCAUACACCUUCAUCCGAGGAGAUCUCCUCAAGAUAGGUAGACGUGGGUGGGGUGGCGAUCAAGUCAAAAGUAGACCUCAGGUGAUAGCCCGAGAGAUCUGCAUAAGCACUCAAUGAAGUGCUCGUGGAAGAGGCAUAAGCCACGGCCGCAUUCUUCAGCCCAUAAGGGAGUGUAAAGGGUGCAGUCGCGGACUCCUCUAUCCUUGCCCCAGGCUCUAGGAGUGAUGGCGGCACAGUGUGCCAUGAAUUCGAGGCCCCUGUAGUCCCCUUCCUAGGUGGCAGCGGGGUGGGUGCUCUGCCUGACGGCUACGAUGAACCGGAAGGUCGUGUCGGUCUCCUGCUGAACCUAGGACUGGAUCCAGCGGCUCCACGAGACUUUCUUCUGGCACAUCAUGGGCUAGAGGCAAGGGCCAUCUGAUGGGGGACAUGCAGAGGGAGAGCCUAGUUUGCCCCGCCCCCAGCAGCGAGGUUAGAGUUCCUAGACCUAUGUCGCCCCAGCAUGGUGUCUCGAGCGUCUCCCAUGCACCGGCUAGGGCGGGAGAGGCUCAGGAUGGGGCUCAGAAUCAUCACGUGGCAGGAGGAGGACCAUGUCAUAGCCGGAGCCAAGCGACAUGAACUCUAGACUCCCAAACCUAAUGACAGUGCCGAGGCGAAGCGGGCGAAAAUCGUUCCGCUAUCUAGGCUUUCCUGGAGGAAAGGGUGUGACACACAGAAGGCUCCUACCUGGCGCGUCAACUGUUGGAGUCUAGACACGUGAUCCAGACACUAACGAGUAAUGAGUCUCUAUGCCCCUAAACCCAGAUGGUGAUGCAAGAAGAACACAAGGGAUUUAUACUGGUUCAGGCCAACGAUGCCCUACGUCCAGUGAUGGGGUCAAAUCCUAUAUUAUCUUGCACGUGAAGUGCUUUUAGUAGGGGGUACAAGCUAGUUGCAAGAGAGGGAGGCAGUCCCAGGUCUUGGCUUUAUAGGUGGCAGAGUGCUCAUGUGAGUUCUCUGGAAUGUGAUGGAUUGUGUGUUGUUUGUAAUGUUGAUCGUGUCCUUAGACGGUGCCCUGCCUUCCCUUUAUAUCCUCAAGGGGAGGUAGGUUUUUAUAUGGGUAAGUCUAAGUUCCUACUCUAGUACGCAGAGGGAUCACAGCAUCGGAGCCAUAGUUGCGUCCUUGAGGUAAUGGCAGUGGCGUUGUAUGUUGCUAGUAGUAUCAAAAUCUAAAGAAUUUACAAUUGACAUCGACUCUUGACUAUGAUAUUCAUAAUUAUUAUGUGUAUGAUGAGGAACAUUAUCAUAAGUAUUAGCCCAUGCAACAUAUCUAGUAUUAUUAUGACUAGCAAUACCAACAUGAGAGCUUAUAAAACUUGCAAAAUAAUUAUUGGGUUCAUAAGAUGUAUUUGCAAGUUGUACCUUAGGGUUAUUGUAGUAAUAUUAUGAUGAAACCUCUUGGUACUCCAUGAUUUAGAGCUCGAUCGCGUUGCUGAAUUUUUCAAUAAGCAGCGCAACACAAUGCAAAAUUGUAAAGCAAGAUGACAAGGGAUCAAAACCAGAUGUGAUCGGCCUUUUGGGACAGAUGCAACGGUAAUGGUGAUCUCAAGAAGAUAGAUAAGUGAGAAUUAGGGCUAGGGCAAGAAGAAUCGGCUACAAAGUAGAGCCGGAGCAACUUCUUCCCUAGCGGAGUCGCCAAAAAGUGUGUUGACAUAGGAUGUGGUUCGAAUAGGACAUUGGAUGCCUAGGUCGCCACAGACCGAAGAAUGCAGUGAGAAUCUCACACUUACGCAGAGAAGAACGGAGAGGUUUACAAGCAAACCACCAAAGAAUAACCAACGUACUUGCGUGACAAAGAACUGGCUCGUUUUUAGGCAAACUAGCAAAGAAACAGUCAAAGCUCUCGCCCGGGAGGGACCCCGUCAGGGCAAGGACAUCGACAGGUUGCCCUAGGUCGGCCGGCAAGCCUAGAGUGCCAUCUUUGGUCGUCAGAUCAACAGAUGAACAACAUUGGAGGAGCAGAGAAAAGGGGUAAAAAGAGUAGAUUUGUUUGUGUUUUGUCGAUCGGAUAAAUGCGAACCCAAUCGGCCAUAUAUCCCUUAUUUUAUAAGGGGUAGGUGGUCUUAUCCCAUAGGAAACCAAUAUGGUACUAUUACUAUAUCGCUUUAUGAAGUUGUCCAUAGACUAGGCCAAAACUAUAGAGCCCAAUUUAAUUGUCAACAGAGCCUUAAUUCCACGGUUCACAAACAAAGUACAUACAAGACCGAAAAUAAUCAUAUGAAUACCUUUCAAUUCAAUGGUUCGCAAUACCUCUUGUUUUUUUUUUUGAGUUCCGCUAUACCUCUUCUUACAAUAUUAUUGUUCAUAUCAUCAUAUAAUUUUGUUGGCGUGUUAAGAUGAGAAUCAAAUAAUUUUUGCUUGUAAUAAAUGAGCACAUGCAUACCGCACAUACAUGUCCACCAGUUUGUAUAUAAACUUCGAAUAGUUGAUGCAAAAUAUAUAAUAACAGAUCCUAGCCACCCUAAACAUAUUACGCAUGCAACCGGUGAACGUUGUGUGGCCCAGCUAGCACAUUCUGUGGAGUCAACCCGAAUCAUGGAUGAAAGCAUAUCCAUAUGUUAUCCACUUAAAAAGUAUAUCUAUAUCUAUAUAUUAUUAAAUUAAAGAGAAAAGAUUUGAUAAAUAUCUCUAACCCAAUUAAUUCCUACUCAUUUAUUGUCUUGCCUGAUCAAUAUUGUUUAAAAUAAGGGGGUGUUUGGUUGAGGGUUAAUGUUUUAUAGACACGGUAGCAUUUUCGUUUUAUUUGGCAAUUAGUAUCCAAUUAUGGACUAACUAGAUUUAAAAGAUUCCUCUUGCAAAUUACUCUUUAAAAGAUUUCUCUUGCAAAUUACUCUUUAGCUGUGUUUUUAGUUUCAUAAAUAAUCUAUAUUUAUUUAAUACUUUUAUAUAUGUAUCGAAACAUUCGAUGUCACUGGAGUUAAACUUUAACAGAGGAAACGGUGGGCCUAAGAUGUAAUGUCUGAGAAUCAUCUGCCCAUACCUGAUGGAUAGAACCGAUCCAGGUUGAUACGAUUGUUAUAGAAAUAAACAACUCUGUUAUUAAUAAUAGCUAUUGUUGUCCUUAUUUUUUAACCUGAAAUUUUCUACCAUUACUACAGAAUGAGGCAAUGGUCGAUGCCCAAAAUGGCCAAAAACCUCGGCCUUUUUACGGCCCGGGGUUAAAGGCCCCUUUAACACCGGUUCGUAACACGAACCGGUGCUAAAGAGUCCUGCCCAACGUCUACUGACAGAUGCUGUCGGGGCAGGGACCCUUUAGCACCGGUUCGUGUUACAAACCGGUGCUAAAGGGAUCCCUUUAGCACCGGCCAGCGCCACGGGCCGAGGCAAAGCCUUUAGCACCAGUUUUUGCCCUGAACCGGUGCUAAAGGUCCGGUUUAUAGGCCGGAUCUCUCCUCCUCUCUGCCCAUUUGAAACCGAGAGAACCAUUCACCAUUGUUGUUCUUGGAGCUUCUUCUUCCUUGUUCUUCAUUUGUUCUUCAUCUCCGACGCCCAUCGUUGAUCUUCUUCGACUCCGUCAUCGUUUCUUCGUGUUUGGAGGUGACUAACUUUUGUCUUUCUUGUCUUUUUCAUGUUGUUUUUGGAUUGUGAUGUUCCCAUUAUUUUUAGCUCAAAUCCACUUUGUUAUUUUGAAUCAUUCACAUGAAUUAGUAUAUAUAUAUAUAUAUAUAUAUAUAUAUAUAUAUAUAUAUAUCGUAUAUCAUGGUUGACCUAGUAUUAAUGUAGUUUGCAAGAAUGAAUUAUAGUAUCUUUUUAUGAUCUUAGAAAGUAGGAUAGUUCAAAUUAAUUGGUUUGUUAAUAUCACUUGAUUUAUUUUUUUUACUACAUAAUGUCCAUUGUAUAAUUUAGAAGAUUUGUUGAAGUAACUAGACAAAUAAAGGAUAUUAUUAGGUUCUUCUUUAAUCAUACAUGUUUACUAGUAAAUGUGGAAUUUAUAAUUGUUUAAAAAUUGAGUAUGGAUAGUAGAUGGCAACCGUGACCGGGUCUUCGGUCUCUCAACGGGUUCAAAAGCGAUAUCCGUCGGAACUCCCUCUCAUUACUUGUGGCAAGUGUGGGCAGAAGAUUGUGAUGGAGUACAAAGUGUCGAAAGAGGGAGUAAACAAGGGUCGUAUAUUCUACAAGUGUCCGGAUCGUAAUGUGAGUUAUUUCCAGACAUUUGCUUAUAUAUGUUCAUAUUUUUUAAAUGAUAUUAAUUAAACUUUUGAUUCUCUCUUUUAAUUUCAGUGGGACGGUACCGGCGGAUGUACAUGUUGGUACUGGGAGGAAGAAUACAUUGAAAACAUUAAGAAAUCUUUUGCACAUGUGGUUAAGGCUGAAGGUGGUGAGGCAGUGAGCCGACGAAAGGAGUUCAAUGAUGUUGAUCAAGCGAAUGAUCUAUCUAUUAUAGUUGGGAUCGGACGCGAACUAAUUAUGUUGCUUAAGUGCAUUUUAGUUUUGGUUUUUUUAGUGCUAGUUGCGAUUGUAUUUGUUGUAGCCAAGCUUUCCUGAAUUAAUCAACUAUGUAUCUUAGACAUGUUGUGCAAUAAGAUGAGAAACUAUAUGUGUGCAUGGUUUUCAUAAUAUAUAUGUUAUAUUUAAUGUAGAUGGUAACACGCAAUUGGAUGUAUAAUGCCGAUCGGCGCUCUGAAGAGUUCAUUAAUGGCGUGCACUAUUUCUUAAGUGUGGCCGAGACAAAUAAGAGGGACAGAUUCAUGUGCUGUCCAUGUGCCAUGUGCAAGAAUUUGACGGAAUAUUCUAACUCGAACUCUUCAUUCGCACUUAUUAAAGUCUGGUUUCAUACCAAACUAUAUUUGUUGGACCAAACAUGGAGAAAGCGGGAUUAUAAUGGAUGAAGGUGAAGAAGAAGAAGAAGAAGAAUUGGACCAUGCCAAUAUUAUUGCUCAGUACGGUGGCUUCAAUGAUGUUGCAAUGGGGGGAGAUAAUGAAGAAGAGGUAGGGGCGAUGAUGCUUUUGGUGAUGCCAUCCGUGAUGCACAAAGAGAAUGUGAAAGUGAUAAAGAGAAAGCCAAGUUUGAGCGCAUGCUAGAGGAUCACAGGAAAUCGCUAUAUCCCACCGCUGAAGAGGGGCAAAAAAAGCUGGGUACCACACUGGAAUUGCUACAAUGGAAGGCAAAGAAUGGUACAUCUGACAAGGCAUUUGGGUAGUUAUUGAAGAUCAUAAAAAAGAUGCUUCCGAAAGGCAACGAAUUGCCCACCACUACGUAUGAAGCAAAACAGGUUGUCUGCCCUUUGGGAUUAGAAAUCCAGAAGAUACACGCAUGUCCUAAUGACUGCAUCCUCUACCGUGGGGAGGAAUACGAGAAUUUGGAUGCAUGUCCAGUAUGUAAGGCAUCACGGUAUAAGAUUAGACGAGAUGAUCCUGGCGAUGUUGAGGGUGAAGAACGUCAUAGGAAGAAAUUUUCUCUCAAUGUUAUGUGGUAUGCUCCUAUAAUACCACGAUUAAAACGUCUGUUCAGAAAUAGGGACAUUGCAAAGUUGUUGCGGUGGCAUAAAGAAGACUGUAAGAUAGACAAUAUGCUGAGACAACCUGCCGAUGGAUCCCAGUGGAGAGCGAUAGACAGAGAAUUCCCAGAUUUUGCAGAUGAUGCUAGAAACUUGCGGUUCGCCUUAAGUACAGAUGGUAUGAAUCCUUUCGGUGAGCAGAGCAGUAGUCACAGCACUUGGCCAGUUACUCUAUGUAUCUACAAGCUUCCUCCAUGGUUAUGCAUGAAGCGGAAGUUUAUUAUGAUGCCGGUGCUUAUCCAAGGACCGAAGCAACCUGGCAAUGACAUAGAUGUCUACCUAAGGCCAUUAGUUGAGGAACUUCAACUUUUAUGGAGCAAACCAGGAGUUCGCGUGUGGGAUGAGUACAAACAAGAGCACUUUGACCUGCGAGCAUUGCUGUUUGUAACAAUCAAUGAUUGGCUAGCUCUGAGUAAUCUUUCAGGCCAGUCAAACAAGGGAUAUAAUGCAUGCACACAUUGUUAUGAAGACCUUGACUGUGUAUUUUUGAAAAAAUGUCGAAAGGUCGUGUACCUUGGCCACCGUCGAUUUCUUCCUGUGAACCACCUAGUACGAAAGAAAGGCAAGCAUUUUAAAGCCAAGGCAUACCACCGGACCAAACCUCUCAAUCGAACCGGGGAUGAUGUACUCGAAAUGGUCAAGGAUAUAAAAGUGGUAUUUGGAAAGGGACGAGGCAGCGAACCUAUUCCCAAGGAUGCUAAGGGACACGUACCCAUGUGGAAGAAGAAAUCCAUAUUUUGGGAGCUACCUUACUGGAAUGUCCUAGAGGUCCGCAACGUGAUCGACGUGAUGCAUCUGACAAAGAAUCUUUGUGUGAAAUUGCUCGGAUUCAUGGGUCUCUACAGGAAGUCUAAGGAUUCACUUGAGGCACGACAUGACUUGCAGCGCAUGAAAGAACGAGACAACCUGCAUCCAGAAAAGACAGACGAUGGACGCCAUUACUUAAGCCCUGCUAGCUACACUCUGAGCAAAGAAGAGAAGGAAAGCAUAUUUGAAUGUCUUAGCAGCACCAAGGUCCCAUCUAGAUUCUCCUCCAAUAUCAAGGGAAUAAUUAAUGUGCCAGAGAAGAAAUUCCUGUACUUGAAGUCCCAUGACUGUCACGUUCUAAUGACGCAAUUGCUGCCGGUGGUUUUAAGAGGAAUUUUACCUCCACACGUACGUCUAGCCACCGUAAAGCUAUGUGCAUUCCUCAAUGCAAUUUCUUAGAAGGCAAUCAAUCCAGAGCAACUAGCUACUCUGCAGAAUGAUGUCAUUCAAUGUCUCGUCAGCUUUGAGUUGGUGUUCCCUCCAUCCUUCUUCGAUAUCAUGACACACCUCCUAGUUCAUAUGAUCAAAGAGAUUCGUAUUCUCGGUCCUGUGUUCCUACACAACAUGUUCCCCUUCGAGAGAUUCAUGGGUGUCCUAAAGAAAUAUGUCCAUAGUCGUUACCGGCAAGAAGGAAGCAUUGCCAAGGGCUACGGAACAGAGGAGGUCAUAGAGUUCUGUGUUGACUUUAUUCCAGACCAUGACCCAAUUGGCAUUCCUGAAUCUCGACACGAGGGCAGGCUCAGCGGAAAGGGAACACUUGGGAAGAAAACAUAUAUUGGUACGGGAGACGAUUACUUCAAUAAAGCACGCUACACAGUUCUCCAGAACUCCUCAUUGGUGGAAACAUAUGUUGAGGUACACAAAGAUUUCCUACGGUCCCAGUGGCCCGGGAAGAAUGAAGCUUGGAUAAUGCGUCAGCACAUGGAAACUUUUGGCGAUUGGUUGCGCAAAAAAUGUCAAGGUGAUGAAAACAUUGAUGAGCAGCUUUAUUUGUUGGCCAGGCAACCAUCAUGGCAUGUCCUCACGUACAAAGGGUACGAGAUAAAUGGUAACACAUUUUACACAGUUGGCCAAGAUAAAAGGAGCACCAACCAAAAUAGUGGUGUACACGUGGAUGCCAUGGAUCCAAAUAGGAAUAGACAAACAUAUUAUGGACGCAUAGAAGACAUAUGGGAACUAGUCUAUGCAGCUAAUUUUAAAGUUCUUUGUUCCGGUGCCAAUGGGUGAAGAUGACCGGAGGUGGGGUAACUGUCAUCAAGGAGUAUGGGAUGACAACCGUGGACCUUAACAAUAGUGGGUUCAAAGACGAACCAUUCAUCCUUGCUGCAGAUGUGAGUCAGGUGUUCUAUGUCAAAGACAUGUCUACGAAACCAAAGAGAGGAAAAAAUGAUGACCACUCAAUCAUCAAUGAGCCAAAGCGCCACAUUGUCCUUUCUACGAAAAGAAACAUUGUCGGAAUUGAGGACAAGUCAGACAUGUCAGGCGAUUACAAAAGGGAUGAUCGAAUUCCGCCCUUCAUAGUCAACAAAGACCCAAGCAUUCUGUUAAACAAUGAGGAUACUCCAUGGUUACGGUAGGAUCAUAACCAAGGUUCAUACGUCAAGAAGAAGUUCACUGUUGUGUCGGCUUGACUUUGUAUGAAACUAUAUUUGAGAAUUGUGAAAUUUGAUGAGUGUAACAAACUUUGUAUUCAUUACUUUUCCAUUUGAGAAAGUUUAAGUUAACAAUACCCACCAAUUCUUGAAUCUCACACAAACUAUAUGAAACUAUAUGUGUCAAUUGUGGAUUUUCAACUACACCUUCCUAAAACAUUGUCAAAUGCAAAAAUGGUCUAUAUAUGAAAUGUAGAUUUUGAUGAGUGGAACAAUAUUGGUAUUCAUGACUUUUCCAUUCGAGACCAUCUAGGGUUCCGAAACCGCUGCAUGGCUAUGAAUUCUCUGAAAAUUUAAAAUUCUGUGGUUCAAACUUUUCCAAAAGAAAAGUUGACCAUUAGACAAAAUGUAGAACUUGAUGAGUGUAACAAACUUUGUAUUCAUGACUUUUCCAUUUGGUACAAUCUAGUGUUCGGUCAAAGGGUGUUUUUGUAAAAACCAAUGCUUUGACUUUGGUCAAACUUGAUCAAAUGGCCCAUUUGAUGACUUCAAAUGAAAAAAUUUUGAAUACAAUGUUGUUAGAGAUCAUCAAGAUCUACAUUUUAUGUAUUGUCCAUUUUUCUAUUUAGAUAAUUUUGAGCCAAUCCUAAUCACAUUUCUAUAAAAUCCAAGACGGGGUUUGGUAAAACCUAGUCAAAUGACAAACUAAAUUACUUAAAAUGAAAAAAUUUUGAACACCAAGUUGUUAGAUAUCAUCAAGAUCUAAACUUUUUAUAUACACAACUUUUCCAUUUGAGAAAGUUUAAGUUAACAAUACCCACCAAUUCUUGAAUCUCACACAAACUAUAUGAAACUAUAUGUGUCAAUUGUGGAUUUUCAACUACACAUUCCCAAAACUUUGUCAAAUACAAAAAUGGUCUAUAUAUGAAAUGUAGAUUUUGAUGAGUGGAACAAUAUUGGUAUUCAUGACUUUUCCAUUUGAGACCAUCUAGGAUUCCGAAACCGCUGCGUGGCUAUGAAUUCUCUGAAAAUUUAAAAUUCAGUGGUUCAAACUUUUCCAAAAGAAAAGUUGACCAUUAGACAAAAUGUAGAACCUGAUGAGUGUAACAAACUUUGUAUUCAUGACUUCUCCAUUUGGGACAAUCUAUGGUUCCGUCAAAGGGUGUUUUUGUAAAAAUCGAUGCUUUGACUUUGGUCAAACCUUAUCAAAUGGCCCAUUUGAUGACUUCAAAUGAAAAAAUUUUGAAUACAAAGUUGUUAGAGAUCAUCAAGAUCUACAUUUUAUAUAUUGUCUAUUUUUCCAUUUGGAUAAUUUUGAGCCAAUCCUAAUCACAUUUCUAUAAAAUCCAAGACGGGUUUUGGUCAAACUUGCUCAAAUGACAAACUAAAUUACUUAAAAUGAAAACAUUUUGAACACCAAGUUGUUAGAUAUCAUCAAGAUCUAAACUUUUUAUAUACACAACUUUUCCAUUUGAGAAAGUUUAAGUUCACAAUACCCUCCAAUUCUUGAAUCUCACACAAACUAUAUGAAACUAUAUGUGUCAAUUGUGGAUUUUCAACUACACCUUUCCAAAACUUUGUCAAAUGAAAAAAUGGUCUAUAUAUGAAAUGUAGAUUUUGAUGAGUGGAACAAUAUUGGUAUUCAUGACUUUUCCAUUCGAGACCAUCUAGGGUUCCGAAAUCGCUGUGUGGCUAUGAAUUCUCUGAAAAUUUAAAAUUCAGUGGUUCAAACUUUUUCAAAAGAAAAGUUGACCAUUAGACAAAAUGUAGAACUUGAUGAGUGUAACAAAUUUUGUAUUCAUGACUUUUCUAUUUGGGACAAUCUAGGGUUCGGUCAAAGGGUGUGUUCAUCAAGAUAUAUAUUUUUAUAUGAUAAAUAGAUUUUUUUAUUUGAUGAAAACAAUACCCUACUAGCAUUCCGAGUAAUAAAUAACAAAAAUAAAAAGUUUAACGUCAAUAUGAUGUGAAAAUAUAUUUCCAGUUGAUUGGAUAUAGUUUUUGUAAAUUUAUUGGAAUAAUAUAUUUUUGCAUUAACAAAAUACUAAACAUUUCUUACAAAAUCAUUGCAAAUUAUAAAAAUAUAGUAAGAUAUUUAAGGUUAAAAAUUUUCAUGUGUACAUUAAAAAAAAUUACAAUAUAUGUCACUGUUUAAAAAAUAUUAUGCAAAAUAUUUAAUUUACUAUACAAUUUAUAAUAUAAACUGUAUAUAUAAACAAUUGGAAAACCCUAAAGUAAAAAACAGGGCCUUUAGCACCGGCCCAUAGUGGGAACCAGUGCUAAAGGGUCCUGAAAAUUUUCAGAACCCCGCCCGAGCCCGCCUAGGACCCUUUAGCACCGGUCCGUGGCUGGAACCUAUUAUUGUAUCAGCAAAAACAUGUAUUGAAAAACCUAUUAUUAUUAUAUAAAAACAAUAAACAGAACCGAAGAAGUGAACCAAAAAAAACCCUUUAACACCGGUUGGUAAUACCAACCGGUGUUUUGAAGGAUCCUGCAACGUGGCAGCCCUGACAGGACCCUUUAACAUCGGUUGGUAUAACCAGCCGGUGUUAAAAGGAGGGGCUUUAGCCUCGGUUCCCCGAACCGGGACUAAAGGGUGGACCUUUAUUCCAGGAAGAGCAGCACCGGCUCGGGAACCGGGGCAACAGGCCCUUCCCGACCGGUGCUAAUGCCCGAACGUGUGCCCCGCCUGUCUAUACAUGUAGUGUGCACCUCGAUCGUCUCUAUUGUCAAUCUCGCUGCGGUCUCCUCGCUCUGAAGCGGCUGGCCAUGACAGAGGCCAUUGGUACGGUGUCACAUGAUGGCGUCUCAUGGCCGGUGCAUGUCCAGGCUGCCCAUGCCCUCCUCGUCCAAUCCUGCACCAAGUAGUUGCACAAGUAGAACUCCAACGCUGAAAACGAUGACAUUAGAUUGCUGGUCCUGGCCAAUUUAAAGUGUGUGCUCUUUUCCCUUUUUCAUGGUUCCAUACAAAUUAUUACACUUCAGAUAGCAAUGAUCUGAUUAAAUUGAAGUAGGCCUUGUUUAGUUCCAAAAUUUUUUGAGAAAUGGGUACUAUAGCACUUUGGUUUGUAUGUGACAAAUAUUGUCCAAAUUAGACAAACUAAGCUUAAAAGAUUCGUCUUGCAAAUUAUAGGCAAAUUGUGUAAUUAGUUUUUAUUUUCGUAUAUAUUUAAUGCUCCAUGCAUGUGUGCAAAGAUUCGAUGUGACAGGGAAUCUUGAAAAAAAUUAUGUUUUGGAGAGUAACUAAACCAGGCCUUAACUACCAGAUGGGUUCGCAAUUUAUAACUGAUGGUAUCGUCAUACAUGCUCUAAUUAUAUUUUUAUUUGCAAGGGUUGAUACGUAAAUUAUGUUGAUAACAUUCAAUUUAUGGGUGUGCACGUGACCUUUUGUUUGAUUGAAGUUUCUUCAGAUUGAGUGCUAAAAAAUGUGUUGAUGGAGUGAGUGUAUUUUACAAAAUGUGUGGUGCAACAUAAUAAAUCAAGGAUGCAAUAGUGUAUAUAGAAAUUUUAGCGGUAGGUAUUUACAGUGCAUUUAUUAGUACUAUAGCAAGGUGUAUUGGCCAACAAGUAAAGCAGUCACUAAUACAUUGUAUUGUCAUUAUGUUAACUAUUUAGAAAUAAAACAGUUGAACACAACAAUUUAAACCCAUAUCAAUUAAAAAAUACUUAAAGUCACAACUUAUAAACCACAAGUACUAAGUAGUGAAAAUAACUAAACUCUAGAUGGAGCCUUAAUUCCACAACUCAAAAAACAUAGAUACAAAAUGAAAAAUAAUCAAAUAAAUACCUUUCAAUUCAAUGAUUGUCUACUUCUUCUUAUUGUCUUAUUGUUCAUAUAUAUUGUCAUGGAAUUUUGUUGCCAAAUUAAGAAUUAGGAUGAAAAUAAAAUAUUUUUUACUACUAUAAUAAGAUGAACAUGUGCCUGCCGCACAUACAUGUCCAGUAGUAUAUAUACAUAGUUAGAAUCAAUCAUGCAAAAUAAGAACAACAGGUCCUUAGUUUCUCCUAGCCGCCCCUUAGCAUAUGACAACUAGGGUACAAAUAAUUAGUAUGCAUGCUAAUGUUGUGCAGCCCAGCAGCAAGCUAGCACUACCGGAAAACCAGCCUAGAGCCGAUGUGUUUGCCGAGAGUAAAAACACAUGCUCUCGACAAACAUGACGUUUGCCGAGGGGGACGCUCGGCAAAGACCGGCCGUCGGCAAAGGAACUACUUGCCGUGGGCUAGAAACUCGGCCAAAAAAAACGCUCGGCGAACUGGGUCAUUUCGGCGAGAGGGUCUCUCGGCAAAGAAAGGCUCACGGCAAAUUUGGUCUUUGCCGUGAGCUGACCUCUCGGCAAAAGGCAGUUCUCGGCAAACGUCAUACUGCCGUUACUCGGAUUCACGACGUGAAAUCUUUGCCGAGAGCCCCGACGUCAAGGCUCUCGGCAAAACUCUUUGCCGAGCGCCCCUCUCGGCAAAGAGGCCAUCCAUAUUUCAUGUGUAUGCAUAUGUUUCUCUUUUCCUUACUCUCUCCAAUUAAAUUUAUUUAUUUUUUCUUUCAUUUGCUCCAAAGUUUUUUCUCUCUACACAUACUACGUGUUGUUCAAUAUUAAUUUUUUGUUUAUUUUUGUAAUUAUUUGCUAUAUAAUUAAUUAGUUGCAAAUUUGAACAGUGGGUGUUGUAUAGUAUACUCUCUCCAAUUAAAAAUAUUGUAAUUAUUUUUUUCUCUCUCCAAUGCUACGGGUCCACGACUGCACUCGUCUUUGGCUCCGGCCUCCUCCCCUCCUCGCCUCCUUUUUAUAUAUCUCUUGGAUGAACUCUUGGAUGAAUAGUGAGACAAAUAACUUCAUCCAAGUCCGACACCAAUUGCAACACCCCUACCCACUUUGGGCCCCUUUGUCUUGCGGUGCUCUAGAAAACCGGUCCGCCAACCGUAAACCACGUGGCUGUAAGCAUGCAUGUUGUACCAUGCAUGGAGUCAACAAGAAUCAUGGAUGCAAGUGUAUAUAUAAAACAUACACCUACAAAAUGUAGGAGCAUCACGUACGCACAUAUCACAGUUCACGCAUGAUACGCACAUAUCCUUUUAUAUAUAUAUAACAAUAAUCAAUCAAAUCAAUCAGCCGGUCUAACGGCUUGUAACAGCUACUGUAGCAGCGUUUAGCUAGUCAAAAUCCACCGAGAUGCAUCUCAGUACUACUCAAUCCAAGCCCCAUCAGUCCAUCACUCCCCUUUUCAUGGAGGCGCGUGCAGUUCCAGCGAUCCCAUGGCUUAUUAGUUAAUUAUCACUGAAAGCAAAUAUAUAGAAGGUCAGACCUCAUGGAUCUUUAUUUACUAUACUAAUCCAUUCUCGAUCAGCACUGGCAGCGAUGCAUUGCACAUCAGAACCAAUAAUGACGUACUCUUUUAAUCACUUGACUUGAUCGAUGAGAGUCUAAUUAUGAUGACAUUUGACAUCGACAGCGAAUCACAUCUCGAUCCCCAGCGUGAUCAGCGAAUUUCUCUCCCAACUUGGUGAUAAUGUUUUGCCAAAACCGUGGUUACUGCAAGAAUUGCAUGCAUGGAGACACCAUAAUAUCUUCAUCAUGUGUUUUCGUCUGAAUAAAAAACGGGUACAUCCCGUUCAUGAAAAAAAAACAUAUAUUCGUCGUGUGCAUGCUAACUAGGCAACUACUAGCUGCCACACUGGCUAUCGUUCUUGAGGCCUGCUGUCUAACCACUAUGUGGCUCAAGGAACAGAUGGAUGAAUGUUGGUAUAAAUUAACUGCACUCCAUUUAAAUAGAUUUAAGUAGGAUUAUCCGCAAGCGCACAGAUAUCAUACCAGUGUUAUAUUUUACCUGGAGGUUUUAAAUAUCGUAUCCAUAGGGAACAGUUGUGAUCAUGACGUAGUAUAUAGACUUAACCCUACAAUUAGGCUAGAUCAUAUAAAGAAAAAGGAAAUAGCUAAUGCACUCUGGUUCCGACUCCGGUAAACUUUGUAUAAUAUCAUCUUAUCGGGCAAGUAACCCUGAAUAGGAGAAGAAUUGGAGUAAUCUCCUACCAGGCACCUAUAAGCCUAUCAGUCCUAUCAACGGGAAGUAGACUACAGAGGAAUCGACGCAGCUAUAAAGUCACCUACGCGAACUACCACUGUCCGGCUGAUCAGGGGACAUUCACAAGUAAACCUAGCCUAGGCACCACGCCUACACUACGCAAUACUACUUCAACUAAGUUAUGACCAAGAUCAAAGCACUCAAUAUGAGUUGUGAACCAAAGAACGAUAAGAACAAGUUGCUUACUUAAAUCAGAAGGGUAAGUAAAAAAGUACCUCAGAACGCAGCUCCGGACGAGGGAACUGAAUCUAGAAGAAUACAACCAUGAAGAAGCGCCGACAUGCCAGAACUCCUCCAGAAUCUCUACUCCUCUACUUAAUCUCUCUAAUCUCUAAACAAGACUAGAUCUAGAAGAACUAGUCUCUCCUAAUUGCUACAUCUAGAUGAACUAGAUCUAGAUGAACUAGAACUAGAUCAACUAGAGGGACCCUAACCCUAAUUAUGUAGAGAAUAUGAAGCACCGGGGUGUAGAAUGCCUUCUAGGAGAGGGGUCUACCCCUUUAUUUAUAGCCUGGUGGGAUCGACAUACGCCGUAGGAUCAACUUAACCAAGAUGCAUCAAGAGAGGCGGUGGAGGAAGCUUCCGGAAGAUGGCGACCAGAAACCCUAGGGGGGCGCCGGUCGAGGCCAGGGUGGGGCCCACCGGCCCCACCUUGCCUCCCCUAUGGUUCUCGUUCCUUUGGGUGUGUUCUAGAGCCUUCCUGACCCCGUUGGCGGUGUUGUUGCAUCGCGGUUAAGUUUCGUGUUUAUUUUGCACUUGAAUCCCUCUUUUCACCUCUCUGUGAAAUAAAACCUGGAAAAUACAGAAUAUGCAAAACUCGUGAAAAUUGUCAGAUUAAACCCUAGAGUAAUGUGUUUUCAUGUGUUCCCUUGUGUCUAAAGUUCUAAUAAAUAUUGACAUUAUCAACCGUUAACAAUUCCUCCAAGCUUCCCUUUUCCCAGUCCCUUGACAAACAAUUAAUAAACUUAGAUCAGGAGUCACUACCCUAAGUACACUUGCUUUUAAACAUAAAUUUUCCACCGGUCUAACUUUCAAAACUUACCCAUUUUACCUUUAACCAUGGAGCUUUACAGCUUUUGCAUAAGCCUUGAGUAAUCGAAAGAUAGAACAAUGAAGUCAAGCACUAUGUCUCAAAUUCUUCACAGUACCAAUAUUCCGGAGUUUUGUAAGUUUUUGAAAUAAAGCUCAGAGCAUGAUUGUAUGACACCCUCAAGUCUCUUAUUAUGUAGUAUUUAUGGAUCUCACUGUUGACGGUCCUUAAUGCUCACAUUUAACCAUCAACUAAUCAUGGAAAAGGAUCUAAAUGGAACCAACACCUAGACUUAGGGUUUUAUCUGACAGAAUUCCACGAGUUUUGGUGUUUGUCUAUUUCUGCAGGGGGUUAUCAGGAAAUAUGGAGGAAAGGCCCACACGUCGGGUUUACAUAGAGAUAUUAACGUGCCGCACAAUUUUCUAUCAUCUAGAAGACUCCAGAAGCCACAGGAACGAACGGGAAGGAAAUCGGGCUCGGAGGCAGGGCGCCCGCCCAGCUACAGUGCCCAAUCAGGACACGUUUCGCGGAUUAUGCUCCAACGACCUAAAGGAUCAAGGAAAAUCGUGCGAUUAAUGUCGGUUUGAUCCGACGGCCCAGAUUCACUUGAAGGGACUAUAAAACCAGACCCCCUGGCCCCUGGAGAUCAUACCUCUUCUACAGAAUCAAAGCUAGGGUUUCAAUUCUUCAUCCAAGUAGAGAGGAUCCCUCUAGUUCUUCUAGUUCUACCUCUAGUUCAUCUAGAUCUAGUUCUAGUUCAUCUAGUUCUAGUUCUAGUUCUUCUAGUUAUAGUUCUAGUUAGUUCUAGUUGUAAUCUAUAAAAUAGGGAGAGAGAAGAGGAGAGCGGAGGAGGAGCUGGGUCUGUCAGAUCUUCCUCAACAUUAUACUUUUGCAGCAUCUGGUUCGUUCUUCAUCGUUCUCCAGGUUCUUCAAUUCAUAAUUCCUGAGUUCUUUAAUUGCUUUUAUUUACAUUCAAGUUAUUUAUUGGAUUCCCGCUUGCAUCAAGUGCUCUAGUCUUUAUAACGCUAGAGUAGUAAUUAAUAGAUUAGACGUGGUGUUUAGUCUUGCGAUUACCUGGAAUUGCACCCAAUCCUGCGGAUUGUUGUGGUAGCCUUAGGGUAGUGAUAGCCCUAACGGUCGACGUAUUCCACCACGUUCGGAUCGGUGUUUGUAGGACCGUAGUCAGACCUUCCUAGCCCCCUUCUCAUCUCUUUCUGUGGUUAGUGCUCUGAUGUCCCGAUAUAGAUAAUCUUGAAGUAAUUCUUGAUUCUUAGAUCAACUAGAGAACUCUCAGGAAACUUCCUCUCUUCCCACUAAAAACAAUUAUAUAGUUAUCCUUGGGCGAUCUUGAUUCUUAAUUAGUACACUCACGUUCCCUGUGGAAAAUCGAUACUCUGGAAUACUCCCGGGUGAAGGCUACAUCAGUAUCCGUGCGCUUGCGGAUUUUUCUGUUUGCGUUUAAAAUACCCAACAAGCUUUCUGGCGCCGUUGCCGGGGAACGGUAGCUGUGCUAGUUUCGAACCAAGUCAUCCGUGUAUCCUUUUUCUUUUCCCUUUUUACCACACUCACCUUAUCAUUUUCACCAUACCACAUGGAUUUCACUCUAAGCAUUAAUGAGCAUGGAAUUUAUUACGUAGCCACUUCAUUUACUCCAUGCUCAUAUGCAACAUCUUACCAAUCCAUUGGUCUCUCCAACAUCACCACAUUCGAGAUCUCCAACCCCCUCAUCCUUUCUAUUUAUAAAAACUUUAAAAGAGCGGUUGUCGAUGCAUAUGUCUAUAAGAAAUAUUGCAGAUCUCGUUGAGUUGAUCUUGAUAUAGGUCAGCGUUGGAGGGGAAACCACUUCACUGACAUAAAUGGAUGGUUUCCCAAGGACAAGCUUAGUGUCCUAAAACAAGCACAGAUCAGAUUGUAACAUGAGCUUUUAAUUAUUUGCAACAUUAACUUGUGUAUUGAGCAUAUAAGGAUAAUUGUAAAAAUAUUCCUUCGGGUAUUCUUGUCACUAACCUUUCCAGGAUUGGAGCAAGAAGAUCGGAUGAAUGACAAGCACAAGGUAUGUCCAACCAAUCAUCAUACAACAUUGAAUUAAAUUCAUCCAAACUUGAAUUUUGCAAAAUUCAAGCUUGGGGGAGUACUUUACAUAAAAACAUCCUUUGCCAUGUUGCUAUGUUGGUUAUCCCUACCUUUGAGACAUGCUCAAUUUGUUAAAUACUAAUCACACUACUUCAUCUCCACUUGAGUAGAUCUCUAUAAAUACUCUCAUGCUACCUUUAUUUGCUUUAGUAUAUGUCUAGGUUUGGAGUAGUUUCAUUUAUCUCUGAAUUAAGCAUGGUGCUUAGUUAGGAAUGUUGAUCUUACUUCCAAGGGACUUUAAAUUAAGCAUGAUGCUUAGGUGAAAAUGCCCUCCUGAAUCAAAUUAGACAUGGUGUCUAGGUUGAUUUUUGAGCCGAUAGUAUGCUAUAGUAGAUAUUGGAUAUUUUGUUGGACUAACCCCUGCAGGAAAACUUUCAAUAUCAAUCUAGGAAGUCUUGAGACAAACUCACAUUGGAGACAAAGAAAGAGGCACGUGAAGUUUAAUAAUUUACACAAGGAAGGCAUAGCUCACAAGAGAUGAUCUAUGGAGGGUGCUACAAACACGAUGCACAACCGCUAAGAAAGGAAAGCUUCCACAAGGAGAUACUGUACCAUCACUCUUCAAGUAAGGUAACAUCUUAAGGUACUUGUCUAUCACUUUUAUAAGUUUCUCCUUGGUUCUAGCGUUCACAUGAAUAAAAGAGACAAACAUGUAUGAUUUACAACUCUAGAUUAACCAACCCAAUCGAUUCAAUAUGUUUAGUCCUUCCACCUUUGUGAUCCCACACUCCUAAUCAUAUGAGCUAAAAUAUUGCACACUCAAUCUUUGGAAGAUAUAUUUUAUAAAAAAAAACAACAUAAAUAUAGAUAGAUUAUCUUUCCAUUAGGUUGAGCACUUGAUUUGACAAAUGUUUUAAAUGUUAUAUUCAUGAUCUUAUUAUCCAUCAACUUUGUCUUGCUCACUAUGCUUAAGGUUAGAGAGAACAAAUACACUUUUGGUUCUGUUAGUAUUUUCCACCAACAGGGCCCAUGCACUUGAUCUCUGCCUUGUCUCUAUGAGCAGGUACACUUUGAGCAAAAUAUGAAGGACUUUUACAACUCCCAGACUCCACCAAGUGAAGAACCUAGAUCUACGAGCACAAACACACUGGAGAUACUGGACACUCAGGCAAUCACAGCCCUGAGAUGCUUGAGGAUGUAACUACUGAAGUAACCCCGCUGUGGAAGUGAUUACUGACCUUCUGUCGGUCAAGAGAGACAAUCCAGGACGCCCCGUCAUCCCGAUCUCCAUCAGCAUGGUGGACUUCCUAGAAGCACUCUGCGACUUUGGCUCCAUUAUGCUCAGGCUUGCAGAUCGUACGCUAAGUUUUCCCAAAGAAAAUAUUGAAGAACCUCUACAUCCGAGUUGGUACCUUAUACGCUCCAGCAGACUUCGUGGUGAUAGAGACUGAUACUGAUGAGAGGGCACCCGUCAUCCUAGGGAGGCCAUUCCUGAACACCUCGGGAGCUGUCAUCUACGCUAGUGCUGCCAAGAUCAGUUUCUGCAUCAAAGGGAGAAAUGAGACGUUUUCCUUCAAGAACAAGACUACACAAAUCCCAGAGCAAUCCCGACAUGAACCAAGGAAGAGGACCAACAGGAGGAACAGGAACAAGCAAAUGUGUACCGAGUCAGCAAAGAUGGUCACUGCAGCUCAAGGAGGUAAAGAUCGUCAACUCAAGUCACCUUUCUUGAUCAAGAAGGACGACCCUGGUGUUCCAAGCAUUGAGUGCACAAUCAACGGAUAUUCUUUUCAGAAGACACUCUACGACACCGGAUCUAACGUCAACAUAAUGGCCGCAGUCACUUAUCAGCUCCUGCAUGGAACCAUGUCCCUACAACCAACAUACAUUCAGCUCCAGAUGAUUUUAAGGUUAUUGACAUGGGAGAACACAAGUACGAUCCACCCAUCAUCCUUGGAAGACCGUUCCUCAGCACUGUUAAAGCAAUCAUCUACAUUGGAACUAGAGAAGUCCACAUGCACUUCCCCUCUGAGAAGGUACGCCGCUGUUUUACUGACCCUAACUAUAUAGUUGAAGACUCUAAGCAGAUCAGGACAAGAAGAAGACGACGCAACCGGAACCAGAGGAGGCAAAUUAUCAAGGACGAAUGGGCGGACUAUGAAGGAGAAGUGGUAAGGUCUGAAGACAUACAGCUUGAACAGAACUGUCCUGAGGAGACCGUAGCACCGAGUCAGGUGUGGAGAGAGAAGAUAGUUAUACAUGAAGACCAGGCGCUGCCGGAACCACCGACUACGCCAUCCAGCGAAUCCCAGGACGACUGAGAAUAUGGAGAGUCCCGUUCGGAGUACUUGAUAACGCCAAACGCCUUGCCAAGAGGUAAACUUGAUAGUUAUCUUUUUCCUUUCAAUUAUUUAAAAUAGUUUGCUUAGUUAAUCAGGUUUAUAUCAUCUUGAAAAGAAAAUAAAAAUGUUAAAAAUAGUAAACCCCAUGUGAGUAUGCUUAUGACAUAAAACCCAUAAGUACAUUCACUGUGGUGGCAUAAAAAUAAAAUAAAUAUAUUCUUGUCCUAUAAAAAUAAAUUUAUAAAAAUAAAUUUAUGAUCCUACUAAGGAGAGUAACAUUUAUUGAGGAGGCUCGGUAAAGGCUAGAUAAUUAUGCUAACACUUAACUAGUUCCACAAAGCUUUGUUGUCUAUUUGAGCUCCACAGAAUUCAAGGAUCAAAGAAGACUAGCAGACGGAGGACAUCCUAAUCGCUGUCAGGGCUGCUGACAUUCAAAUACACCUUUACCACUUGCUAGCUACAUUAGAAGAAACUACGUCAAAAUCCAGCUUGGGGGAGAGCACCCCCAUUUAUCCAGCUAAGUGUUCUACUCAUCUUUAUACUUUACUCAAAUAAUAAAAAGAUGCAUAAUCAUAAAAACCAAAAUAAAGAUUCUGUGCUUAUAUAUAUCUUUGCUUAGUUUGCUAAAUAAAUAAAUAAAUAAAGUUUGCUAUGAACCCUCAUGAUAAGCUCUCACAUGGAAAUGAUGAAUAGUUGCUCUGCCAUGACUAGUUCUCAAAAUUGAAAUCUCUCUCAAGUUUAGGCAUCACUGUUAUGAAUUAAGAUUUGCUCUAAACCUGAACUUGUGGGGAGAGUACUUGAUCUGAAGUCUAAGUCGUUAACGGAUAUGAUAUGGGAAGGUUGAGCUGCUAUUUAUCUGUUCCUAGAGAUGCUAGAAUUCUGGAGAAUUUUAUCUUUGAAAAUCAUUAAAAUGUUGCAUGAUGAGUUCCUGUAUGAUGAGAGUUUAAAUUCCUACCACAGCCAUAUAUACAUGCUUGCUAGACUAUGAGCCACACAUUUACUUUUUACUGCUUAUGAGCAUUGAGUGUGGUCAAGCUGUGUAGACCCUUAGGAGCUUGUCAUGUGGUUAAAUCAAGAUUCACUUGCACGUUCACUCACACAUGCUACUUCUACUCAGGAAGUACCAUCCACAUAUAUCCAUUUCCAUCUCCAGAACCACCCAAAAAUAUUCUACUCCUAAUCCGGGAGAGAAUAGACAAAAAUAUUUCUGUUUUUCCCCUGUGAAAUAAAUGCUCCAGUUAUCUUGGUUACUACCACUUGCUAUAUUAUUUCAGAAGAUGAGUGCUCUAAAAAAAAGAGAAAGAAUACGAGGAAAUAAAAAGGGGCAAGUGCCCGGAACCUCGAAAGAAAAGAAAAAGUGAGACGAGAGGUAAAAAUGGACAAGUGUCCGACCGUAGAAUUAGGGGUACAUGAUACCCACCUGAGAGAAAAGAAAAAGAAAAUACAGAGCAUCUCAUUCUCCUCAAAAAGCCUCAAAUGCAAGAAAGGUAUGUAUCCCCUCAAAAGAGCAUAAGUAGAAUUAGACUUUCACAAUUGUUAUCACCAUCAUCACCAUACACCAUUCAUUCGCCACACAUGCACAUCUUGAUUCGACUGAUUGACUUGUUUCUUUGGAUCCAUGGUUUGACUAUACAAUACAUGUCUUGUAAGUAUGUAUACUUUAUCUCCCACCUAUGAGCUCCAGAUAUUAAAGCCUUAUUAGAGUAGGGUGAGAGAGUAGGCAAUGCCAUUAUGCUUUAUACCAUAAAUACUACAGAUUUUGAGAGAAGGCGUAUACCAUCACUGCCUUGGUAAGGAUCCAAAAAUACCACAAAAGAGAGACUAGAGAGAGUCAUACAAGGAAUCUCUGAGUUUUAAUUAAAAAUCUGCAAAAACUCCAGAGCUAUAGUUAAUCGAAGAACAAGAGACAUGGUGCUUGACUAGACUGUUCUAUCUUUUAACUACUCAAGACAGAAGUGACGGUUACAAGUCCCAUGGUGAAAGGUAAAUGAGUAAGUUUUAAGUCUUAACAGUUUACUCUAACCAGAGAUGAGAUCUUGUUUAAACGCAUGUGUAUCUUUAAGUUAUGAAACCACUGCAGAAACUCUUGAGUUCAUCUUUGCUCAGGGACGAGCAAAGGUUAAGCUUGGGGGAGCUUGUUGACGGUCCUUAAUGCUCACAUUUAACCAUCAACUAAUCAUGGAAAAGGAUCUAAAUGGAACCAACACCUAGACUUAGGGUUUUAUCUCACAGAAUUCCACGAGUUUUGGUGUUUGUCUAUUUCUGCAGGGGGUUAUCAGGAAAUAUGGAGGAAAUGCCCACACGUCGGGUUUACAUAGAGAUAUUAACGUGCCGCGCAAUUUUCUAUCGUCUAGAAGACUCCAGAAGCCACGGGAACGAACGGGAAGGAAAUCGGGCUCGGAGGCAGGGCGCCCGCCCAACUCUCCUGGGCGCCCGCCCAGCUACAGUGCCCAAUCAGGACACGUUUCGCGGAUUAUGCUCCACCGACCUAAAGGAUCAAGGAAAACCGUGCGAUUAAUGUCGGUUUGAUCCGACGGCCCAGAUUCACUUCAAGGGACUAUAAAACCAGACCCCCUGGCCCCUGGAGAUCAUACCUCUUCUACAGAAUCAAAGCUAGGGUUUCAAUUCUUCAUCCAAGUAGAGAGGAUCCCUCUAGUUCUUCUAGUUCUACCUCUAGUUCAUCUAGAUCUAGUUCUAGUUCAUCUAGUUCUAGUUCUAGUUCUUCUAGUUAUAGUUCUAGUUAGUUCUAGUUGUAAUCUAUAAAAUAGGGAGAGAGAAGAGGAGAGCGGAGGAGGAGCCGGGUCUGUCAGAUCUUCCUCAACAUUAUACUUUUGCAGCAUCUGGUUCGUUCUUCAUCGUUCUCCAGGUUCUUCAAUUUAUAAUUCCUGAGUUCUUUAAUUACUUUUAUUUACAUUCAAGUUAUUUAUUGGAUUCCCGCUUGCAUCAAGUGCUCUAGUCUUUAUAACGCUAGAGUAGUAAUUAAUAGAUUAGACGUGGUGUUUAGUCUUGCGAUUACCUGGAAUUGCACCCAAUCCUGCGGAUUGUUGUGGUAGCCUUAGGGUAGUGACAGCCCUAACGGUCGACGUAUUCCACCACGUUCGGAUCGGUGUUUGUAGGACCGUAGUCAGACCUUCCUAGCCCCCUUCUCAUCUCUUUCUGUGGUUAGUGCUCUGAUGUCCCGAUAUAGAUAAUCUUGAAGUAAUUCUUGAUUCUUAGAUCAACUAGAGAACUCUCAGGAAACUUCCUCUCUUCCCACUAAAAACAAUUAUAUAGUUAUCCUUGGGCGAUCUUGAUUCUUAAUUAGUACACUCACGUUCCCUGUGGAAAAUCGAUACUCUGGAAUACUCCCGGGUGAAGGCUACAUCGGUACCCGUGCGCUUGUGGAUUUUUCUGUUUGCGUUUAAAAUACCCAACACUCACUGAGGCAUUAAUGAGGUUACGCCUUCCGACAACUAAGGAUAUAUAUAGUGGAGCUUAUAGGAGUGGCAAUAACAAGGAUGAGCACUUGCAUUUCGUAUAUUGUAAAGUCAAACAAUGGGUCCACAGAGAAUCAAGGCAUACAAUCAAAUCAAGAUGUACGUGUGUAUGGAAUAUGGUGGAUAGGUGUAUAUAUAGUAUUUAGUGGCUAAUCCUAAUUCUACUUUUGCUCUUUGAAAAUUACUCCCUCCUUAAAACUUUUCGUAGGAAAACAUGGGCUAUCUUUAUUCUCUCUUUUUUUCUUCUUUUUUUCAUUACUGUGGGAGGCGGGCAUUGAUGUACCCAUUGUUUUAUUUGCUGGGACACUUAUCCAUCUUUUACUCCCUUUUUUUCUUUUCUCUUUUUUUAUACUUUUGCAUAGCCACAUGCAUCCUUUGAAUGUAAAUAAUUGGAGAGAUAAUGAUAAGAACUUAGAGCAAUUAAAUAGGGGCGGUACUAUAGGGUAUAUUUUUGGAUGUUUACUCCUAGUAUAGAAGAAAACAUUUUUUUAAGGUGGAUCUAGAUGAAAGUGGAAAUGACUGUGCUUACAUUCUAGAGUAGGAGUAAUGCAUAUGUGGGUGGAGUGCAUAAAUGAUUUUGAUUUUAAAAGCAUGACAACGCUCUACAACAAAGGUUAACUAAACUCAAUGCAAAGCAAGCAGCAUGAAUGUGCAAAGGUUUUCCUAACUCUAAAUGUAUCAUAUAUGGCUUUGGUAGGAAUUUAAACUUUGCCAUACAAGAGCUCAUCAUGUAGGAUUUUGGGUUUUUGAAAAUAAAUCUCCAGAACUUAGUAAUGCUAGGAGUAUGAUAAAUAGCAGCUUGAUCCUUCAUAUAUAAUAUCAAUUACCUAGACUUAGCUUAAACAUUUGCCUCCACAAAUUUUAGGUUGAGAGUAAAUUCUUAAAGUGGUCAUGUCUAAAACUCGGGAGAAUUCAUGGUUGAAAACUAGGCACUUGAAAGGAAUUACUGUAGAGCAACUAUUCAUCAUCUCCAAGACAAAACUUUAAUAUUCUCUAAUUUUUAUUUGACUCUAAACUAGACUGACUGUAGACACACUCUAUGAUCACACCUUAAUAUAUAGAUAAGUAUUUUGUUUGGUUUUUAUUCAUUUCUAUUGGACUCAAAAGACUCUAGAGGUAUGGACCUUCAUGUGCCCAUAUAUUUUUGGUAUUUUAUGACUAUAUAAAAUAGACUCAAUAAUCGCCUAGGUAUAGUUACCUCAUAACUAGGGGAUGCUCCUCCCCCAAGCUAGAUGUUUGCAAUAAUUGGUGUUGAUGAUCUUCAGAGUGAGCUAACCGGCAGCGCUCCAGGUGGGUGCCACUAAUAGACUCUCUCCUUGUCAUAAUGUUGUUUCUGCAUGAUUACACUAAAAAAAAGAAAACAAAAACUCAUGGCUCGAAUUUAAUAAUGGGUUAGUGGUCAGCCAUUGAGUGAUUGAUUAUUCUUUGAGUUGAUUUGAAUUGACGGAUUCUAGCAGAAUUCUCUCUCUUUUUAGGAUUUUCUAGUUUAAUUAUGUAGAAAUUAAAUAUGUGUGCAUGAUAUAUAUAACUGUAUUUUUAUGUCUCCACAGAGAAUAUUUAUUCUUAUGGGGCUUAGGGUUUUCAUAAUGCAAGAAAGUAAAUACAGAAGCUAUUAUUAUUGUUAUUUAUGUCACCACAGCAAAUAUUCCUACAGGGUUACCAUAAGUUUAUUCAUGUGGAGCUUUUAAUAUUUUAUGAUGCAGUAAAUGAAGCAAUAAAGAUUUUUAUUUUCUUUUAUUUUAUUUUUUUACAUUUAUGCAGAUGAAAAUAUUAUGGUAGAUUUAUUAAUGUAAACAGAAAUACUAAUUAAUUAGAUAACUAUCAUAUUACCUUAUGGCGAUGAUGUAAAAUUUAAUGUUUACCGACAGGUCUUCUUCUUCCGCUCUUGUGUAGCUCUCCAUCUUGAGAGAUGGAGGUCUUAAUGGUUGCAUACCUCUAGUGAUGGUAAUGUCACUUUUUGUUCUUUGAUUUGGUCAGCAGGUUAAAGUAGAGCUUUAAUAGUAGCUGGCAGCAUCUUGCUCAGUGUGCAUGUUCACAAAACUUUCACUUGUAGAAUUAAUAAACUUUGCUUGAUGUGUUGUCCUGUUUGCAAAACUAAGGUAGAGAUCAGGUGCAUGGGCUCUGCUGGUGGAAAAACACCAACAUAACCAAGUCUAUUUCUUUAUUUAUUUUUCUCCAUCCUUAGGCACAUUAAACAAGAUAAAGUUGUGUUACAUGAUUUAUUUAUUUUUGAGUGGUAAGAUCAAAAGAUUAAGCACUUAAUGUUGCAUUUAAGUUCACAUGAUAGAAAAGAAUAAAAUUGCUUAACGAAUGGAAAGAUUGUCUAUCUCUAUAUAAAUUUUCAAAUAAGUACGACUAUCAUCUUCCCAAGAUUGAAUAUAAUGUUUUAACUUGUUUAGUUAAGACUAAGAUUAAGAGAAUGGUGCCAUGAAUAAUUUUAAAGAGCAAAGCAUAUUGAGUUAAUCAAUUUAAGUUGUAACUCUAAUAUGUUUGUGUCUUCACUUAUGUGCACACCA
rnacentral:lncRNA from 1 species